rnacentral:lncRNA from 1 species
GUCAUAUUUUAGGAGGGAAAUGGGGCUCCCACCGCACAUGUUCACUUGUAUGACUUGUAUUUUGUUUCCAGAGAGGGAGAUGAAACUCAUAUCCAGUUCUUUUGGUUGAAGGAAAGAAGAAAAAAGGCAAGAACGUCAGGACACAAUGUCGGUGAGUUGCAUAAAGAGCCUGUGCGGUGAAGUUGUUUUGCCAAAUCUAAACUCCUGUCUGCAUCCCUUGCUGCUGUCAUGCAUCAGUUACCAAGGUCGAUAAAUCUGUGGCAAAGCAAAGAAGAAAGAGCAGAGAGGGAGCAGAUGAGAGAACUCAUCAUCUGAUGACAAAGUAAUAAAAUCAGGUUAGGGAAAACUGUCAGAAAAGUAAUAAAGUAAUAAAGAUGAUAAACAGUUCACAGCGGCUGUUUGGGCCUCCCUCACUCCGAUGCAUGGAGGGGGUGGAAGCAGAUGCUGGAAGGGCAAGGGAAGGAGAAUUAGUCUGUGUGUGUGUGAGCGCUGUUACGUGUGUGUGUACACUGUUACAUAUGUGCUUGCGUGUGUUUUUGUGAGUGUUUGGGUCAGCUGGUUCACACUCCUCAGUGUGUUUCCCCCUGCUGCCCACACAAAACAACCAGAGGAGUCCUCGUCUGAUGAAACUCCAACGCUCUGCCAGGCAGAGAGAAACAAAGGCUCUCCCUUUACCUACGCAGCCACAACGCCCCUGUUCACACACACACAUACACACACACACACACACACAGCGGAAGCUUUGGUAGAUAUUUAAUCAUGCCCUAAUUUGCCACAAGGAAGAGAUGAAGAAGUAGGGGAGCCAAAAACUGAGAGAGGAGGUGGAAGAAAGAAAAGGAGAGGAGCUGGAGGAGUCAAAAUAAGAGGGAGUGAAGAAAUAGAGAUGUUUUACAGUAGAGAGUGAGGAGAAGAAGGCAGGAUGAGAAAAUAAAGAGAUGGAGAAGGUGGGAAGGAAGGGUGAGGGUGAGAGAAAAAUAGAAAAUACAGAGCCCAAAAGAGAAUCCACACACCCACAUACAGUACGUGGGAGCUUUGUGCCGGUAUUUGUCAGCAUCUACUGCCAGGCAGAAAGACGGGAAGACAGACAGAGAGAUAGGCAGACAGGCAGACAGACAGACACUCAUGCUCUUCAGUCACACCUCUGCACCUACUGGGCCGCCCACACCAACUGGUGGUGCAAUCCCUUUGCAUUAGCAUACAGGUGUGUGCAGCCUUGUGUGCUCCCAUGAUGGGCGGAUCUAGAUUAGUGGCUGGAUGGUUACAGUUACCAAAGCCUGUGUGUUACAUAAUGUGGCAGCGGGGACAAGGAUGAGGAGGGGUGUGUGUAAUGACAGAAAAGGAGAGAGAGAGAGAGGAAGGGAGGGAGAGAGGACCUGAUUAUUUUGGAGCACGGAUGAGACUUUCACGCUUUUAUUUUGGCAAAAGGGAUGGGAUAAGAGUGGUGGACUCGAGGAUGAUAAAAGAUUAAAUUUAGCUGAGAUGUGUUUGGGGUCCUUACAGCACACGGGGUUGAUAAUUAAAUGGGGGAGGAGAGCAGGCCUGAUGGUCUCAGCUAGAGUGACAGGCUGAAUAUUAGCCCCACAGUCAUGCAGAGCCGUAGAGGAGAGCAGAGAACAUGAUAGGAGCGUAUUUGAUAAAUGUCAUUCUUCUCCCAGCUUUUAAAGGGACGCCUGCAGGAGUGUGUGGCCUGACCUUUUUACAAGUAGAGCAAGAUGUGCCUGGGAAAAGACAAACUGGCGUUAGAGGGAUAAAAUCUGUCGGAAACUGGCAUAGUGGAAGAGUUUGUGGAAAAAUCUUUGAACUAAUUGACACGCAUGAAAAGCCAAAUGGAUCUAAUGGGAUUUUGGAAACAAUCAUGCAUGAAGACAUCCAGAGCUGUACGUCUGUUUAAAUACUUGACACCUCUACUCAGAGGUCCACUCAUCAUAAACCUUGGCUAACUUAGUGAAAUCUAAUCCAUUACAGCACAAUGCAGAUUACAGAGCACCACCUGUUGCUGCACUGAAGCAGCCACACAUUUUUUUUUUUUCUGGAAAUGAGGCUGCCUCGUGUUAGCAGAUUAUGAGUGUACUGCGGGUCAGCUCAUGGGUUUUCUUUCACUCCUGGGAGCUCACCAAGUGAAGCUUUAGGCCUUAGAAGUGUUUGAAAAACAAUCUGUGACAAUCCCUGGUAACUGCAGGCAUCCCUCUCUGUCGUCCCACCCCUCAGGCUUCAGUAUAAGUGUAUCACACAGAAACAGGGCCCCAGCAUCAAAUAGCCGCUCUAUCUGCUCAUCCGCCUGUUGUCGUCUCCUCGGGGUGGUAGGUGACUGAGACACAAUUACCAAACAUGUCCCCCUGAGGACGUGUGACUCACUGAGCCCCCGGCCUGUUUGUUUGAUCCAUGUGACAAAAGAUCUGACCUCUGACCUUUCAGCUCCUGAUGAGUCACCGGUAGUGCGCUGAAAAGAGGGGCUUCCCCAAACCAUGCUGCAGCCACAGCACAGCAACGGGUAACAUUUAAAGGUUGCCACAAAACACUUUUCUGUUUGUCUGAGCUGUGUAGACCCGAGUCUGUGGGCGGCAUGACCCCGGCAUGCUGAUAGAACUGAUGUAUAAUAGGUCAGAUCUGCGGGUGACAUCUGAGCUAUCAUUUGUGGUUCAUUGUUUGUGGUUUAAGAAGUUAGUGUAUCGGCUCAUCAGGCCUAGUAAAGGAUUAUGACAAGUAUGAACACAGAAAAUUACCCUAAGCUUUUACUCAUUUUGAAUAUUGAAAUCUUCUGUUUUGGUUAGACAGCAGGUGGAGGUGAAAAUUAAAAUUUUUCAAAAUAAAAGCCAAAAUGAUGGUAGAAGUCUACCAGCAAAGACAGUCGGAAGUAUUGAACAUAAAAGCAACAGCUUAGAGUAAUGUCUAUGUCUAUGUUAUUUAUGUUUUAUCACCUUAAUGUAUCCAAGUGACUCAGGAGACGGUAAUCUGAGUAAAAUGCAGCAGCAGCAAUAUACUCCAUGAGGAGCAAAAAGUAGAUUUAUGUUUCUCACACUGGAUUAAAAUGUUAGCGAACAUAAAUUUAGGGAUAAAGUCAUUGUCUUUUUGACUAAAGUACCAAACUACCAAGUCUAGAAAGUUUAUGAAAUGUAAAAGAAUGCCUUUUGAAACAGAAAGCCAGAUUAUCUAAACUAAAUAUGGAAUUUAAGGUGACGAACAGUUUGCAUUUUGCUAGCUAGCUUUCUGCGAUAACAACAGUUUAACAGGAUGUAAGGACCUCUGGUGGUCAGUUUGGGUAACAGUAUUUUGGAAGGACAAAAACUAAAACUAUUUCACGUCAAAAGAGCCCCCUGUACAGUAUUGUUCCACACCUCCUCUUGUGUGCCACAGUAAUGCCAUAAGAACUACAGUUUGUGCUAAAAUUGAAGAUUUAGCUCAAAAGAUACUUAAUAGAUUAAAAAAGGGACUUAGUUACUCACUUUGAUACUUUUGGGAAUAUUUUCCUCAUAAUUUUACAAUAUUUUAUAAAUGUCAACAUGAGAAUCUUGUUACUUUCUCUGAAAAGGAACUUAAUAUUCAUGUGUGAACACUUAAACAGCCUCAUUAGCUUUGAGUUGAGGAGUGUAUUAGACACAGCUCAGAUCCAUUUUAAGUUUUCCUGAAAGCUAACUGGAUGUUGCAUGUUAGAUGCACAAGGAUAAAUCUUCUCAUUGGCUGAUUGCCUGGGCUGACUAACUAGCUGCUCCUCAUUCUGCUGACGUCCUCACAUGGACACAGAGGCAGACAGGAAGGAGCGCUGGAGGCACGAAGAUGUGGCCUCAGCGUCCAGACUGAGGAGCGGCUUGGUUUGUUGUCUUUAGCCAACACGUUUGGGUGUGAGUCAUGAGCAUACGUACGUGGAGCAGACAGAAAACAUCCAGACUCACAGACCUGUUUUUAUUCUACUACAGGCUUCAGAUUUUUUUUUUUUGUCAGGAAUUUAAACUUUGCUUUAGUCCGCAGUCAAAUGGAGCUCAGCCAGUCCACAUCUGUUUAUGUGGACGAGCGUGGGUUUAUUAUUGCAUCAGACAGUCACGCCAUCACCCUUGCUCACUCCUUGGACCUUGACGUUUAUUGAGAGAACUCUAAGAAAGGCUUGGCAGGUUUGGGUUUUUAUCUUUUUUUCUCUAUGGACCAAAAGCUAUAAAUACAAAACCAGAGCUACUGAAAUUUAGUAAAGAAAAGCUGAAAUCACCCUGCCUUUUCAAGGAUGACCUGUUUAAACCUGGUGUUAUACAAACAGGCAAGUUCUUGCUCACUCACACACGCACACACACACACACAAACAUUUAAGUUGUUCUCCAGAGUUUAUUUGAGUUUUGAGUCACAUCAGAAGUUGCCAAGACAAAUAGCCUCCUUGGGUCCAAUGGCUAAAGCUAUUCCCAAUAACUCGCUGUGAAGUGAAAAUGACAGUCUGAGCGGCACAUCCGCUCAGGUGAGAGUUAUUUGUUUUGUGGCGUUGCAGCUGAAGAAAAGUGACGCAGAGAGCGAGAGAGCGAGAGGCAGAGAGAUAAACGGGUGAGGAGAGAUACAGAGGAAGUGAUGGAGAAGCCGAGGCAGAAAGCGACAGAGAGACAGGAGAGAGAGAAAGCGGCUGUCGCUGAGUUGUUGACAGGUGGGCCUCAGGGCAGGUACGACAGGUUGAUUCACAUAAGCCCCUCUCCCUCCUCCCCUCUACCCCAGCUAGAGACUGCCGAUGUGGGAUAGCCUACAGGGCUGAGAAGACAGGUCUCCAUCAGAAAGCCCUGCAACACUUUUACAAUCAUACGAUAAUCGUUUAACUCCGAGUGCCAGACGUCAGCAGGCAUGACGGCUGAUGAGGCAGACACACAAAAACCACAAACAACACUAACACUCUUAGUAUGCUUCCAAGGAAAAAGGAAAAAAAGAGGAGGAGGGGAGGAUGAAUAAAUAAAUAACUGUCAGAAGCAUUUGGCUUAUGGGACAAUGGGUUUUUCAGGAGUUGAGACUUGGGGGCCAAAUGUCAGUUUGGGUCACUUGGACUGAAGAUUCAGCAUCAGGUUUUAAAAGCUCUGCAGCAGCCAGAUGAUGAAAUAAAGAUACUAUGAGGAGCUAUCAGUUUUAUGCCUUUUUUUGCAAACCCCUUGACAAAACUCUUUCUGUGCACAUGUGGCUACAAUUCUCUCACCAAAAAAUCUUCAAACUCUCUGUGAAUCCUUCCUGCUGAAUAUUUGCGUAAAGGACUCUUUGGGUUGCGAGCUUUUUAUGCUAACCUGGUGACAGCAGUGACAGACAUCAAAGAUGACUGUAGACAUUAUCGACUUCUCUGAUGAUGGUCUGGUUUGUUUUUAUAGGCCAUUUGGAAACAUCAGUGUUAGUCGUAUAGUUUAUUUCAUAUCUAGUUGAAAAAUCCUCGCUGAAGCUUUAUGUGAAGAGUAACUUGUGCUGGUAAAAGACUGCAGCUAAUUUUGAUGACGACAACCUCUGCGAUAGAUCACUCAGCAGUAGAGCUAAUUUUUUUUUUACUUUUGGAGGAAGUUCAGGAUGACUUUAGCUCUUCUUGUCCCAGGCAGUUAUGGCAUGUUCAACUGAAAAUGAAUGGUGGGGGUUUGUUUUCAGUGAUAUUAAUUCUGUUGUCAAGACUGUUUAUCUAUCACCGAGAGGAUGACUUUCCUGUAGAAGCAGCAUUAAGUGGAUGGUGAUCAAAUUUUUCAGCCCAAAGGUAACAGAGGGGAAUUCACUGCAAGCAGCCAAACUUCAGACCUGCCCACAUGUACAGCCAUUCUCACAACCACUCUUCUUUCCAAUCUUUUAUUCUAUUUAAAAAACUCCAUUUAUCAAACAACAUCUGUGCAUUGAUUUGAUUUAAUAGGCUCAACUAGAUAUAUGUUAUUAUGCCAUGGGAGCCUUGAGACUCAAUGGCAGUAUCCAUUAGCUCAAACACAAAAUAGUGGAACUGGGUCCUCAGUAAAACCAGGUUUUGAUCCCUACUCCUCACUACAGUGAUCACAUUGCAGAACAGAUUUUUUUAAAGCAGUAGAUUCUGGUUAUUAUAUCAACAGUCUGUUAUUUGAUAGCAGUCUGUUAAUAUGUUUCACAGAACAUUGCCGAGGAUGUGGUCCAGAUCACAGACUCUGGCAGAGUCUCUGAAAUCACAUCAAUGCACAGAAAGGAGUCCAGCUGAUUUGACAUCCAAGUAGGGCAGAUUUUCACAGAUCAUGAAUAACAUAUAGAAAAUGUAGAAAAAAAACAGAUAAAACAACACAAGCAUCACGCCAAGGAAAGGUGCAACAAGGGUGGAGCAGCAUAUUAUUUCCUGAACUUUACUGAUAAACACCAGUGACUGACAUGUAACCAUUUCAUAUGAUCUUCAAAUUUGUGAUUCAUCCACAUCACCAGCCCUGUGACUGAAACUUGUUUGGAGAGGUCAUUGCCUCAUUUUACCAUUGUUUAUCAUGCAUUUAUUUUAUUUUAUUUUUUUUUUUUUUCUGUCUGAUUUUUCUGAAAAAAUCCAUUAUCCACAUACUGUUAUAUUUGGAAAGCCUUACAUUUAAGUAAAUCUACAAAUGUGCUCAAGGACUGACAAAUGUAAAUAUCACAGACUCUGACACAGUGAGGCAGAAAAACUCAGUGGGUUGCCUCACUGAGGAAAAUUCAGUUUGAAGUGCAUGAAAACAGCUAGCUUUGCCUCUCUAAGAAGGUUGGGGGUUAGCUGUUACUACAGACACACCUUAAACUGAAAGUAUGACUGACUAUUUUCAAUAGAAACAAAUCUAACCAUUUUAAAUUUAUCAAAUUAUUUCAAAAUCAAUAUUGAGUUUAAAAAGUCUGAUUCAUGAAAAAGCAAGGAAGUAAGUGUAAAAAUGUUGAGUAAACAGAUUACUGCUUACAUCACCUUAUUGCAUGAGUCGUUUGUUAUUCUGAUAAUUCUGGUAUUAUAAUGUCUGAUUGUGUGCCUGUAUCUGUUGGCAUUAACUAUCUUUACAUAAAUCUCCUCAUUUCAAAUUCAGGAUAAAGAAUAAUAAGAUCUUUUAAAAAUGAAGGAAUGACUUUCACUUUUUGAAUCAGGCUAAAUCCGUAUCUUAUUCAUUACUCAGAAGUCCUUAAAAGUAAUGAGUAAUUUGCUGUUACUGAUUUAAAUUUAGAGAUUUAUCACAAAUUAGCAGGGUUAGAGUUGUGUCUCUCAAGCUCUUGAUGUGUGGACUUAAAAACGUCUGGGUGUGGAGGUUAAUGGUGCGACUGGAUUAAGGAGACUCGAUUCAUACAUAAUGCAGACGUUUACCUUAAUGGGAGAAACGUGACUGGGGAGCGGUGUUUACAUUAAAGGAGGGUGAGAGUUCAGCUGAGCUGGGGGAAUAUUUUUCUGCCUACGCUGGCGGCAGACACUGUAAUGAAUUUCUAUAAAGCGCGCAGCAAAUAAAAAUAAAGACACACAAAGGAGGUUGCAUGAUGAUUGUUGACGGGUGAUGCUGACAAGGAGAAAUUAGAAGGAUGGAGUUGAGACUUGCACUAGUGUACAGUCUGUAAAAGACAUUAAGUAGCCUUGGACGACCCCAAAUAAGAGAGAGAGAGAGAGAGAAAAAAACAUCCUUUUCUUCCUUUUAGCUGCUUGAAUGAAGAUUAUAGAACAAAAACCCAAUUAAAUCUGUGAUUAAAACACAUGUUUGAGAAAGAGUGACCACACAGGAAGUCAGAUUUUUUCCUAUCACCCUCCUUGCACAAGAAUUCAUGCACAGGUUUCUACAAGGACACAAACCUGUGCGUUCUUUAUUUGUGUUUGUCUUACAAUCCAAACACACUGCACGUGGCUUGGCAAACACUUACACCCACACACACACACACACACACACACACACAAACUGUCGAGUCUAAGGGCCGAUGUGUCUGCAUGUAUCCACAAGUGUGCUGACUGCACACACCCUGCAUAUAGCCUGACGAUGUCUCGGCCACAAUACACCGCACAAUUAAAAUAAAUCUCCUCAAAGGCCACAUGCUGUUGCAUUUUCUAACAGCCCAACAGGGGAACAACUCCAUGGCAACACUGGAGAAAUGUUUACAUGUGAGAAUAUUUGGAUAUGCACUGUUGGAAACAUAAACAGUGUUAGUGUAAUAAUUUAGUGAGGAACAUGAUUUCUCUGCAUCGGGUUAAAGAUAGAAAGAAAAGAAAAUACUGUGUGUUAGAAAGUCAUGAACUUCAUUCUUCACGCAGUAGGAUUGUGACAAUGUGUGUUCUCAUUACGAGCAUACAGACAGCCCUCCGUGGGUCUCACUCUCUGAGCCCCUCUCCUCCUUCCUCCCCAUCUAUCUCUGCAUUCCCAGACAGCUUUAGCAGUUCAAACCCUCGCACUGCGGCAUUGUCACACACCACACUGGUUGCCAUGGAGAAAUAGUCCUCCUGGUCUCCAAGGUACCCGAGUCUAUUGUCUUUGGCUUCUUUAUUUAGAUGAAAACAUGAUUUGUUGGAAGGGAUCUACUUGUUUUUUUCACCGCUUCUCUUUCUUCUUCUUCUUCUUCCUCCUCACAAGCAUCAAUGCGACAUCGCAUGAUGUGUAUUGUUUCAUUCUUUUCCUUUCCAGGAGUUUGACUUUACGCGCAUGUGUGCGUUGAGCUCGCCUGAUGUUUUGUAGCAAUUAAUUUCAGUGUGUCUGCAUGUCAGCGCCCCAGGAGGGGGGCUGCAUAAAAGUUUUCCCCCAUUGCCACAGCUCUCGCCAGGGCUUAUAAUUGCCUUCUAUUACCAGGGCUGGGUGUCACAGCCUGUCUGUCACCACCAGGCUCUCAACUAGCAGCAGAUGAUGAGGAAAAGGAGUCACAACUUGCUCUUUUUUGGCAGAGGAAAUAAUACAGGUAAUGUAUUUUUAUAUGGAUUCAGUAUUUUAGUGCUCCAGCUAUGUGGCCACACUUGUGAUAUUUACUUUUCAGUGAAUUAUUCACCUGGGUUGUUGAAAAAGUUGAUUUAUAGACAGCUAAAAUAGGAUGAUGUGCUAACAAACAACAAGCUUAAGCCGAGCCACAAACCAAACAAGGAAGAAUAAGUGUUCAAUGGCUUUAGCGUGGCUUCAAACAGCAGCUGCCGGGCCUACUAAACACUCACAAUCAUCGCGCUCUGACCUUUGACUUUGUUUAUUUGCAUGUUUCCAGCUCCACUCACAGCUGUCAGCAAGCUGUAGCCUCUAUAGCUGCCGGUAGCGCCACAUGAAAAACCAAACAGGAAGUGACAUCACAUCCGUUGCUCCGUGAUAUCACAGGGCUGAGUCGGAGAAAACGACAGAGUGAAAGGAAGAACAAAAAAGACAGAGUGAGAGAGAGAGAGAGAGAGAGAGAGAGGGGAGCAGGCUGCUGGGUGGAAAGAGGAAGCUGUGUGUGUUUCGUUCUUGCUCAGAGACUGCGGCUCAGAUGUCCCAGACUCUGUGGUUGUGUUUAAGUCCAGCCAGACAAAUAAAGUGAUCCAAUUAAAGUCACUUAUCUGCUUAAUCAGAGGGGCUACAAACACACAGUCUUCAUCUACCACUGUAUCCUCAGAUGACCGUCUAAAAUAACCCCAUAAAGAGUGUUUUUGGAGGCUUUAUAAUCAGACAAAUAAAUAUUUUGGGUCUACUUUGCUGCCAGCAGCUUUUGCAGGACAUCAGUUGUUUGUUUUUUUCUCCUUCUUUUUCUCCUCUCCUCUCAAGUCAUUCACUUGUAUUCUGCUAAAAUUGCUCCAAUGUUAAAAGUAAAAAACAUUUUACUUCAUUGUUUAAGAGACAACGUAUGGAAAUAAAUCAUAUGAUACUAAGAGAAGCCAUGUAAAGGCCUUUAAAGAGUUGUAUUUAACCAUUAAACUUAAUCUGCUUUCAAAGUUGUAUGACCUGUUAGUUCACAGAGAUACACUGACAGUUGUGGGGUUUUUUUCUAACGCAUGGUGAUGCAAACGUGGAAGGAGAGGUUUCGGAAACUGUGACGCUUUGCUUUGUCAGCGUAGGGUGCAAAGCAGGGUGAGUUACUGUUGUGUGCUUCUAUGGCAGAAGCAUGCAGCAGCUUGUUCCUCUGGCAAGCGGGCCAAGCGUUGAAUAGAGUGGGUGCAGGUAAACAUGCUAAAACAGGCCUACUCGGUAAUUGUUCUGCCUUGUUGACAUGUUUCACAUUCGCACACCUACUUUUUUUCAAUGUGUUUCAUCACAUCUCAGACUUUUUGAGUUGGAGAACCGGUGCUGCUUUUUUUUGUUGUACACUUAGAAUGAAAAUCAACCAAAUCUUAUGUAUAUCUAUAUCUCUUAGUUUAACAUGUAUGAUCUCAGACAGGGGAAAAAAUAAUCCACCUUAAUGAUAUAAGUCAAAGUAUAUCUUUUCCAAAGGGGUUUCUGAAUUGAUGUGCCCCUGAGCUUAAGUGUUUCGUCACUUAUUACCCAACGUUUGUUGUUGCAAUGAUGAUGAUGAUAGAGAGGAUGAUGGUAUUCUGACUGGGCUUGGCCAGAGCCACAAAUAGGCACAAAAUGUUUAGAGAGCGUCUUCAUUUCUCAUUUUCAGAAGUAGGAACUAGAGAAAAUGAGUCAGAGCAGAUGUGUGAGAUGAGCUGCUGAGACAGCACACACUAACUCCAGAUCAACUAAUGGUUUAAUAUGGAGAUGAAGCCUACAGGGAGGAAUGGAAACAAAAUCCAACGGUUUUCAGAGGAAGGGCGGUGCUGAAAACACACACACACACACACACACACACACACACACACACACACACACACACACACUGCAUGCACGCGCACACACUCACACACUCAAAAAAUGUCCGAAGGAGAAAACCUGCUGGAAACAGGACAAAUAAACCAGCGGUUGUGUUGUAUGGGCUGUUGGGAAUCGCACAAACACACACAAACCUGUAUCACGGUACAAAAGCCAGUGGGGAUAGGGGAAGCGGGUGGGAGAGAGGCGGGGGAGAAAGAUGGGAGAAGUGUGGGAGAGAGGCAGUAGGGAGGGGAGAGGAGGUCUGGAGCGUGUCCAGGGGAACUCCAGACUGCUGUUACCCAACAUGCUCUCUGUCUACGGGGGCUGGGAGCCUGAAUACUGCUGCCGGAGAGUCACAGAACAUGGAGAGAAGGGGGGGCACACACACUUGGAUUACUGUUCGCCCCUUGACACUCACACAAGCACUGCCGUCCUUGUGUCGCCAUAGUAACACACUGACCCUGGCCCCAAAGUUGCACUGCCUGGUCUGAUCUCCUGCCAAGCUCUAAGUUGUGGGGUUGGACUAAAUCUGCCUAUUUAUAGCAGACCCUUUGGCUGGUUUUCUACUAGUGACAAUAAGAGCUAAUCUGCUUUCUCCAAAGCUCCACCACACCUACCUUACAUCAGCCCCACUGUAGAUUAGCAAAGGGACACAGACAGGGUGAUAGAGAGAGAGAGAAAGAGAGAGAGAGAGCGCGAGAGAUGUGAAAGAAGAGGGGUGAGUUGGAGACAGGAAGUGACAAGAAAAAAAGACAGAAGACAAUGAAAGAGAAACUAACAGUGUAAAGCUUUUCUAUUUUGAGACAGCUGCACUGUGGGUUUAUUUUUUUCACGUGUCUCAUGAUUAUUUCUCAUUAUUUAAUCACAACUAUAAUUACAGUGGUAUGUCCAGAGGAUUUGACAGGGGUGGCUUGGGCCCUCCUUGAAAUCUGGUGUCGGUGCCACCUCAUAUUUUAAACACUGAUUCGCAAUUUGCCAUGUUAGAGGAGGAAAACAUGUUGAAGGCAUCUAUUCUAAAAACCUUUUUUUUUUCUACAAAACCCUUUUUUUUUUUUUUGAAUUGGAUUAAAAACAUUUUCUAUUUUUGGUGCUCUAAGGGACUGUGUCCACUAAAGCUGUUCUUUAACAUUGGCAGCCCCUAUUUUCUGUUCAAACCAAAUGCAAUUCAGCAUUUCAGCACUCAGCAUCCACAGUGCAAAAACACCCCUAUCAGCUAAUAGUAGCUGCUGUGUUCUCAGCACUCUUGGUCGAAAAUAGAUCAAUUUUUGGAACACUGCUGCACUCGGUAAUGUCACUUCUUGAUCACUGACCAAACCAUCAAGACAGGGUGGGGCCGCUGAUAUUUACUUUGUAAGCAAAAUGGUGGCGGCCCAUACCAAAAAGGAGAAAAUAACACCUUUUUUUAGGGACAAACCUCAGGUUGAGAGUUGCUAACGCUAGGACAUACUGUCUGUCAAUUGUCCUUUUUAUGUGAUUCAACGAAAGCAAGUAUAAAGCAUAUAGAGACUUUUAAAUCAUAAUUAAUGUUUGCUACUAUUUGUAACAAAGUGCCAUGGGAAAACAUACCUUACAUAAUGACAAUAAGUGUCAGAGAGAAGUUCUCUGUAAUUGAAGUAGUGGGCACUGUCAGCGCUAAACACAGUGUUGGUGGACACAGGCCCUAAACACUGGAAAAAUCUACAAAUGUAUUUCACAAAACAGAAGUGAGAAAUCAGUUCAUGAAAAAAUGAAAGCAAAAGUGUCUAUGGAAAAAAAAAAGGAGAAGUGUUGAAGAAUACGUAAAACUCUCUAUUGUUUUAUAUUUGUGGUAAAAAAAAAUGUAUGCAGCAAUAAAAUGUACACCAGGAUGAAACUGUAAUAUUAGUAAAAGUUGAUAUGACUUGCAGUGACAGAGAGGAUAAAUUAAUGAUAUAAUCAUUUGUGUGUGUGUGCACACUUUGUGCCACCCCCUGCUUGGGUUAGUGUCUGAGGUGGGUCCCCUCGGUUUAUAAAGUGUGGACACACCCCUGUUUGAUGAGACUUCUGAUUAGAUGGAGUUUGUGCUAUCUCAAACUAAUAUUGAUGUAAAGAUAAUCAAACUGAACUUUAUUUAAAUUUCAUGUGAGAGGCGAAAUUUUAAAGACAGGGUUUUAUAUGAUAGAAGAGCUAUUUCUGUAUAAUGAUACUAUUAUUCAUAAUUGUGUUAUUUUUAUUGAUCCUUUAUUGAGGGUUGAGAGCUGCAGUAAAAGGAAUUUUGUCUCUGUGAAAGAAUCAAUAAAGUUAUCCUUAUUUUGUGUUAUCUCAAAAUAAACACUGAAUCACUGUAAUGAGAAUCUAAAUAAGCCUAUACAGAAAAUCAUAAUAAAAAGUGCAUGUGUUAGUGUCAGACAGUGUAGAAAAACAUGAUGUUUCCUGUCUUAAGUGGUUUGGAGUAAAGGAAAUUGGGAAAUGUUGAAAGUAACUCUUAAAAAAAGCUCAUUCAAAUAUUUCUACCAAUCAGCAUAUGUGUAGCCACUGUGUAUGUGUGUGUCUAAAUGUGUGUAUGUGUCUGAACUUACACCCACAUGGACACAGACCAGACUUUGGCCAACAUGACUCUGCAGUGCCAGGGGUAAUUGUGCCGCUAUUGGCUUCUGCUGUCAGCCACACCGAGUUAGCGGAGCCAGUCACAAUGAGCUGAGCGUAACUUUAGCUGGAGUUAAACCCACUCCGGCUCUGGCUGCCUUCCAAGUCCACUGGCCUCAUCUCACCCCCCCAUCCCCAACCCCCCUGGCCUGCACUGACACAGUGCACACUGGCGAGCACAGAGGUUAGUUAAGCUGAGGCCUCGCAAAGCCUUUGAUAUGAAUAGAGAGGAGAUAAAGGCCUGAUAGUGAUACUGCCCAUCCUUUAUAAUACUAUAUACUAUAUUGAUCUGAAGGCAUGAAGGAAUGUCUCCUCUGUGUGGGACUGCUCUCGGGUGUCUAUGGUUUUCUCCUCAUUUCUUGUGUGUGUGUGCGUGCGUGCGUGCGUGUGUGUGUGUGUGUGUGUGUGGGGGGGGGUUAAAUAUUUCUUUUUCCACUCUUUUGCAUUUUCUAUUCAUUACUUAUUUUUCGUCAACUCUCGGAGGACAAAGUUUUCCUCCGUCUGUUUCUCAGUUCAUGAACCAUUCACAAUAUUCAAAUGGCUGAUCACAGUCUCCUAAUGUGCAUCAAAUGUGCCAACUGAUCUACAGGUGGAACAUUUGGCGUGGCAGAGGUUUCACUUCCUUAAAUUGAACUGCUGGUGGACUGUCAUGAACUCUGUGGUUUGCAUGUUUAUUUACAGCAUUUCUGCAGCACAAACAGAUGUUAUUAAUAGUUUUUUUUUUUCACUUGUCUUGGGCACAUUGCUAGCCAAAGGGCUAAUCCAAUAAAUUGAUCAAUCUGUGUUGAUACGAUGUGCUAGUCAGAUUGACACACAUGUUGGUGCCAAUUACUCUAUAUUCUGCCCAGACUAAUUCAUGGGAUCAUGAUGGGGGCUCAGCUUGAACAGCUAAAUGUCCUGGCUUGGCUAGCUCCUCUUGCUAAUUGGUUUGGGCUGCUUCCUUUGUGGCUGACUGCGUCACUCAGUAAACUUAACCUCAGCCCAGACAUAAGUAUAUUAACGUGGUUAAGUAUAAAUAGCUUUGAGUAGUCAAAUUAAACCUCUCUGUUUGUGGAAGUGAAUAUUUUGGGCACCUGUGAUCUUGUUUUCGCUGUUAAAUUUAGCUCUGUGGUCCUCAGUGGAAACAGUGACAGAGACCUGUCACACUUCCUGUGUACUGUGAGUAGUGAGAGAACCACAACCCUGUGACGCCACACUCGGAAAAAAGAGAAAGAGAGCAUCAGAGAGGCGUGGAAAGUCAGCAAUGAGGAAGUUGUGGUUUCAUUUGAGAAGGAAAAUUGUUGCCUGAACUGUAAGUGAAUACUACAAGUGAACUGUAAAGUUUCCUGUGCGGACUUUCCCCUUUAUGAUAACACGAUGGGCAAUGGUGAUAAGCCGGCUAACACAGCAAGCGCACUGCUGCUGCUAUUACUGCUAAUACUUUGACAAACUGUGGAGGUUUUUCUACGCUUUGUUGCACAGAAAGUUCUACAACUAAAUCAGUUUCAACAAGCAAACACACAUAUAUAGAUCCUCUGUUUUCUUUUUAUAUUCUCAGGCUCUCGUGCCUUUGUAGAUGCUCUCACUUCCCGUAGGCUAUUGUUUUUGGUGACCUCUGCUAAGCAUGCAGUGCACAGCAGCACACACAGCAUUUCCAGGAGCACACACACACACACACACACACACACACACACACACACACACACACACACACACACACACACACACACACACACACACAAAAAAAAGGACUUCAGCCUUUGCACUUUAGACACAAAUGUGCUGCAGUGUUGCCUGAUAAAAACAGAGCAGAGCAUUAAGAGACAGAUUUCAGAAAGUAAUCUGUUAUAUAAACUGCUUAUUUAUAUGAAUGAAUUUAUAAGGCAGCACUGAGUAAAUCUUGUGCAUUGUUAUGUGAUUAUAAUAUUUAUAACCACAAUCAUGAGCUGCUAGUCAGAGGAAGUGCAAAAUAAGUGCAUGUUAAAGAUAUUUUUGGUUCAUUUGUGUCAGUUACCCCGAAAAGCAUAAACGCACUCAUUUUUGUCAGUUUGUGUGGGAGUAGGAACACUGUAAUGUAAGAGCGCCAGAGAGUGUGUGUGUGUGUGCUUGUGUUUGUGUCUUUGAGUGUGACAUAAAGUGUUGGAAAGAGACAAAUUUAUAGUGUGAAUUUUCUCUCUCUGAAACAACACAGAAAGUCAUGAAUCAUCUGUGCUGCACAGACAUAACCACAGGAAGUACCCAUGAAACACACAAACAUACACACACACACACACAUGCACACAGAGCAAGAAUGCUAAAGCAUAACCAAAUACCUUCAGAUACUGGAAAUAGCACAUAAAAACAGCCCAUAAACUGUGAAUUUUUCAGAAGAUUGAAUUCACCGAGCCUGUUUCUUGGGAUUUCUCCUUAUUGAUUGAAAGUCUCAACAACAAGGAACAAGAUUUUUCUUUGAAACAGCCACCAAAUCUUUUGGAUCAAUAAACUUUGGUCGAGACCCCAUCACAGCAUCCCAGCCAUUUACUGCAAGAGACAAUGUUACCAUGGUGACCCCUACACACUGGGGGCAUGCGUAAGAAAGUGGAAGUCAUAAAGACCUGUGUGCGAGAGAAAGCCAGCGUUCAGCCUUGACCCCUCGCCGACUUCUCCGUCUUUGUGAACCUUGUUUGGUUCAGAGUGACUGAGCAGAAUAGUUGCUCAUUAUGUCUGUUGUAUGAGCACGGUCCACAGGGUGACAGCUAUAGUGAAAGAGUCCUCUCGCUGACCAGAAGGAUUACACACACACAAGAAUGAACACAGAGGAAAAAAAAACAUUAGGAGAGAAACUCAAGGUUAGGAGUAUUACAGACAUGUCGAUAGAAACACACAGCAGAGUCCAAAGAGUCAUCUUGUUACAGGCAGCAGUGGAAUUGAUCAAUAAGAAGCUGCUUUUAUACAAGAUUUGGGCUACAGUGAACUGGUCAGGAAACAGAGUGAAAUUAAUAUUGAUGUCUCUAUAUGAGCCACAGAAGCAAAAGAGACCAUCAGUGGCAGAAUCAAUCAUUUCUAUAGAGUUGUCUUAAAUGCCUACAACUGCUGGUAGACCAAGCAGCAAACUGCACAACGCAGAAACUGCCCUUUCUGAACAGUUUUUAAUAAUAAAAAUAAAAGUAAAAUUAUAUGUUUGACUUAUAAAGAGAGGAGGAUGAGAUAAUUUGUUUAAAGAAAAUUGUAAUUUUACCACGAACAGAAAAAAUCAGCAAGAAGUGUUUCAUCCACAGGGGGUGCCAGAAUCAUUGCGCACUGAAAGGUCCCUAAGAACUGUAUGAAAACCCUGCUACUCCCAAUACCUCUACUACUACUUCAAAUUAGCAAGUAUAUCAAGUUAUAGUAAUCAUUUAAUAUUGCAAUGUUACUUGUGCUAAACAAAAAAGUACUAGUGUACUGAAUCACAUAUGAAGGAGCCAGAGUAGAGUUUAUGACAUUUGAAAGUUAGGAGGUAAAACCCGAACACGAAUAACUUGUACCCUGAGAACAAAUGGAUAUGUACAUUUUAUUUGACCUCCUCUCUUUAACGACGUACCAUGUCAGAGAGAGCGCCAAGGCUGGACACUUCAAGGAAGGUCUUGUGGUACUUUUCCUCCGCUUAUUUAUUUAAAAGAAUUACCCCAGGAACUGUGGGAGACUUCCCUGGGCAGAAAUACACAGUAGUGAAGUGUUACCGUGUUUUUCUCUUUGAAUGCACUGUUUGUUUUGACAAACACUCUACAAAGCAGGUGGAGGGAGAAAAACCCCUCGGCCUCAUGUUUGCAGCCAGUUGAUGCCAUUACUCGGAUCCCUCUGAUGUGGCCACGGGCCUGGCACGCUUGGUUGUCCAGGUGACAGCCACUGUGGAGACAGAGGCCCUGACCGGUCUUGGCCCACUCUGUUGCACCAACUGUGCCAGCUUACCGUCAACUGGACACUAAACAGCAGCGACACACAUGCCCCCUACCCCUGCUGUAGACCGCGGGCACAAGUUUUAACCCGAGAACAGAUAAACACAAGGUUUGAAAUCAGGAGAUCUGAAAUCAGAUUUGAAACCCUCAAAUCCAACUGUAUCAGUCAGAGGAGUGAUGAAAUAUCUGACCCGGCAUCAGUGGUGUUGGGGGGGUGAUUUUAUAUCUGGUGGGCUGUAAGCAACGCCGAGAAGAGAUUUGCAGAGACAGCCCAUAACAGCUCCCUUGGAACCAAUGACUCAGAUAUGCAGAUGUGUUUACUUCCCUUCUGUUUCCCACCUCAACCAGCACACAAAAGGCAGGGGGAAUGAAAGUGCCUGAUAAUGUCUUUAAGUGUUUCAUUUAUAUAUUUAUAUGCCGUUAUAAAGAACUCAUUUUUCACUAAAACUUAGACAGGCACUUCAAAUGGAAAUCUGUAUUCCCUCCCUCCCUUCUGAGGGUAUUCAUCUUUUGUCUAAUGCGUAGCGCUGCUCACUGUUAGUUUCUCUCUGACACCAUGCCAGCAGAGUCAUCUGCAAAGGGACUCAUGUAGGGAUUAAAAACCAUCAACAGCUCCCCUUUAACAGAGAGGUGGGGGAAAAAAACUAAAAAAAAAAAAAAACUAAAAUACAAUAAAAAAGAAGAAGAAAAAAAAACUCGAGACAGUUUUGAGAAAACUUGUAGAAAGAGAAUGCAGAUUGUCACCUGACCCUGAGGCGAGGCAGCCCUAAAUAUAAUAAAGAGAAGACAACAGAAGAAGACGAGGCGACACGACACGGGUAAUGUGUUUUCUCUGCUGGUGUCGUCUGGCAGAUCUGGGAUGAUUGAGUGCUGAUGCCUGCCUGGGCCGCUUCAGAGAAGAUCGUCUACCCCCCAUCCCCCCUCCUCCUCUCUUCAGCUCAUACACACAUUCAUGACAACACAUAUGCAGGCACACACACAUACACAAACAUAAACACACACACACAUACACACAUACAUAACUUGUGCCUUCUGAGUGACAAAACAUCAAGGCAUUUUAACUGUCAUCAUCUCAGCUCCUCUUCGUCUCUGGUUUGUUUGGUCGAGGGAAUAAUUCAAGGUAACACUUUUAUUAUUGUGAUAUGCGAGUGUUUGCGUGUGGUUUUCUCCACGGUGGAUGUGUGUCUUAAUUAUAACAGGGUUUAGUGAAUUAGGGCAGGAUGUGCAUUAUUCUAACAUUUGCAUAAUCUCUCUUGAAUAAACCUCAGUGACAAACAUGCGAGCAGAAAAUCCCACAUACCUACUGUACUGCAGGGCCUCAGUGGAAAAAAUAUGAAGACAAGGCAUGUUUGUGACAGAAAGCUAUUGCAUUUCCUUGCAGAACGUGUGUAUUAUUCUUUGUAUAUUUUCAUAAUCUUUUCGUAUUGUGAAAUUGUCAGCAGCAGAUACAGACAAACAGGUGCUGGCUGCAGAGGAAGUUGAUUGGCCUGAUUCCAUGAUCCAUUUUCCCAAGGCUUACACACCCCUGCAGCUGUCCUCCUGAAUAUGAGAACCAUGUGUGUGUGUGCAUGCAUGCGUGCUUGUUUGUGAGCGCGUAUCGCACAGUCGUGGUUAUGACAAAUUCGCUCCUUGUUACUUGCCAAUAAAUGAACAAUGCUCUUCAUUGAUGACGAAAAAUCAAACAGAAAACAAAAUUCUGAUCCAAAGGAAAUGAAAGUAAUUGAAGAGAUUGAUCAAAAGGAAGAUCUUUAAGUGAUUCUCUCGACUAUUUUAAAGUUUAGAGAGCCUGACCUGCUUGUGAAUGUGUUCCCUGAUGUUCAAAGUGAAGUCAUAUCUCAGGUUUUAGGGGCUUUUUUGUGGUUUUUGCAUGGCAGAAUGUUUUGAACUGAGCGGUGACAGCCUCAGCCAAACGGAAGAGUCUCAUUCCUGUUGGAAAUCACUUUUCUUUCUCCCUCUCCCUCCUCUUCUCUCUGUCUCUCUUUCCUCACCCUUCUCUCUCUGAAGCUGCAGAUCACUUGAAAAAGAAAGAGGAAGGAACAUGAAUAAAAACUGAAGGCACUUCUCUUAGAUAUGUCUCUUGAUGCUCUUCAGAUCUUUAAGACUUCAUCAGAGGGAGAGGCAGGGUUACUCGAAGAAAAACUGAAGGACUCAGACUUCCUAAUCUACCGUACAAGACCUGAAUUUGAGAACACACGAGCGGCUUCUUUUUACUCACUCACAAUUUUGAUCUUUUCUAUUUGGCCUUAAAUUAUUGAUGGGCAGGUAGCAGUGCAGAAUCACUCGCUCAGUACUUUUGCCUUUAAUUUGGAUGAAAAGAAUAAAAAACAGGGACCAUAUUGUCAAAAGAAAGACUUGAUCUGCCUGUCCUUGAUCAUUUCAUCCUAUCUUCAGGAGAAAAAAAAACUUGAAUGCAAGUAGAACUCUAGGUGAAUGCUUCCUUUCUCACACAGCUGCUGCGUAGUUUAUUUGUUUAGAUAAAGUAAAUAAAAAUGCACAUCAUAUGUAACUGCAACAAUGAGCUAAUGAGGCUAAGGUAUGGAGGAUUUAUUUCACAUGGUUGUUAGACUUACGUUUGAACAUGCAAAGAAAACAAUGAAGGUUUCCAUAAAUGUUCAUCACCUGUGAGAAAAAUGGAUUAAAGACAUCCAAAAAUCUCCUGAGAGCUAUGUGAAAUUUUGUGGCUGUUUGCAUGAACAGUCGAGAUUUUCCCCCAACCUUGCAAACUGGGGUGAGACAACGCCAGAACAUAAUGUGUUUAGGAAAAUAAAUCUGAGUGAAGGAAUGAGUGAGUGGGCAGGGUAAUCAUUAUUUUACCAUGCCAAUGGUGUGAACACGAUUGACUGACAUGUAGCAGGAUGAAUAAAAACAUCCAAGGUGGAAGAAAAAGAUUCAUUUUCAAGACAAGAACAGCAAAAGUGUUCAUAUACGCGUAGAACUGACAAAAAUGCAAACAAUGAGAUGGAGCCAAUGUUCCUAACCUGACAGGAAAGACUUCAUGCUGUGGGGAACAAGAGGGAACAAGCAACUUUGGAAAAUUUGGGGGGCAGAUCUACUGUAAAAUUUCUAGACAUCCUUAAAGUGUUUGCAUCGUCCUCUUACAUCUCAGCAGUAUCUUCAAUUUCUAUUUUUGUCAUUCUUUUAUUUGCCUUGUGAGCCCAGACAAAACAGCCAAUGCCAAUUCUUUCAGAUUGCCGUUAAUGAGCUAAAUUAAUCGUCCCAACCUAUGAAUCGGUUUAUGUCUAGUUUAAACCGUGGGAAUGAAAACUAAAGCUCAGCCUGGACCAAAAGUCAGCUCUCUGUAACAGGCUUUAUGACAGGACAGACAUGGUGACUAAUGAGCCUCUAACAGGAGCCUUAAGUUUCUGUCUCUGAUUAAUCACAAAUUAAAUUGACAAAUUUUGGGUCAUGGUGGGGAUAUGAAUUUUUGUAUUAUAACAUGUUAAAAUCACUGCUGCAUUUUGAAAAUGACACAUUCUCCAAGUAGAAGCAUUCACCCCAAAUUUCACUGAAUUAUGAAUGAUCUUAGUUUUGUACCCUCUCUAGUGUUAAGUUUCUCAGUUGAGUCACAGUCUUUACAGCGUUGCACUAAUUUUUAUGUCUUGAAUAGUAAAUCCUGACCUUGGCUUUCAAACUUUACUUUUGUCUGAGGUCAUUUAAGGACAGCUCCAUAAGGGUUUGCUCAUUAGAUUAAUGCUUAAUAGUGCACCUGCACAGACACCAUAUCAGCUCAUUCACACCAUUAUUAUCGUUACACCAUGUCCAAGUUAAUAGGAUGAGUGGAGGAAAUGUACAAAAAUUUGUGCAUGACUCACGAUGUCUUUUGGGGCAUGGUGUCAGCUGAGAUAAAUUCAGGAGGUCACUUGUCCCGAGGCUGUGUUUUUCUUUUCUAACAGACCAGCUGGAUCACAAAGUUCACCUGCAGGAGAAGAAGGGAAACAGCACUCCCUGUUGGAGAGUAAGAGUAUUUCACAAGGAGGGCAAAAACUCUGAAUAAGGAGUAUCUUUUCUCAUUCUUAGCAACACAAAGUGCCAAUUUUCUGUCUCAGUAAUUAAGUCAGAAGUUUACUAUCGCCCUUGUGGAAACAGACACGAUAUAAAACAAAAAUCUUUAACCCUCCAGCUCUUUUCACUGAGUCCCUAGCUUUUAACUGUACUCUUCUGUUGCCUAAAAUAUCAGGAUUAUACAACACCCCAGUGAAGAAGUGUGAGACUGAGAUUUCUAUUGUUCCUCUUGUUCUCUUGUCGUUGCUGCGGUUCGCCGUGCCUCCAUUUGUCCCUGGACGUCAGCGAGCCAACAGAUUAAUUAGACGUCUGAUAGCAGUGUUCUCCCUUAGUGCUGGCCCGCUGAGUUUUGUUUCUCUUUUUCACUUCUUGUGAGCCUCUAAUUUCUCUCUUUAUAUGAACAGGCUUUAGUUGUUGAAGUGGCCCAGGGGAAAUAAAAUUAAGUAUUAUUCCCUCUGAGGGGCUGCAGCUUAUCCUGAAGAAUCAAGUCCGUGUCAUCCAUAUAGCGAGGGAAAAUGUGACAGGAGGUAGAUGUUAUCACUGUAAAAAGUUUUCAUUUUAGUUUCACUUUUGCCAACUGGCUUGUUAUAUCGCACACAUGCUCACAAGCAAUGUUUCAGCAAGCUAAUAAAAGCAACGACUUUGUGUUUCAUGUACUUCCACUCAACGUCUGUCAACCCUCUCUGGACACAGGUCUUGGUUAGUUGCCUUGGAAACGAGCAUAUGACUAUUCUGAGAAGCAUGCUAGUGAGCAAGCAACGGAGGGAGGGAGGGAGGGAGGGAGGGAGGGAGGACGUAAGCAUAGUAAAGGUAAGUCAUACAAGGACCCUUUGGUCAAGCUGAUAAAAGUGUGAUGAAAAUCAGAGGAUAAAGGGUUAUUUUUAUCAAUGUGCUGAAAAUGUGUUGCUUUCAAAGACUUUUGCAAAGUGGAGGAAUCAAUCGAAAACACAGCACUGAUUUUUUUUUCUUCUUCUCAUGUUCAGAAAUACUCCGAUUAGCCGUUCCUUUUAUUACUGCAUACACAUCUCCUAACACACAUCCUCAUACGGUAUCAGAGCCCUAAUCUGUGCAUUAAUUACAUGUGUCUGAAGCAUGAGCCACCCUUUUUUCCAGGCGUUAAGCCAUUAUGUAUGAGUCCAGGUCUUGGGCUGCACACUCUUUAUUCAUGUUCUUUGAGGAGGCUGUCAGGGAUAAUUAAGACAACAUGCUUCUAACCAGCCUGUUUGGAUAGCCUCUGCCCCCAACCCCCCCACUAUCUCUGCCUGAGCCUACUGCUGCUACUGCUGCUAAUGUUAACCUCUUACUGUCUCUUCUAUGCAUCGAGGAGAAAAUGGACUUAUAGAUGCAGAUAUCUCAAAGUGCAGGCAGAAAAAUAAAUAAAUCUACGUUUGCAAAUAGUAUAAAAAGGAAUAAACUUUCUUUGGGCCAAGUGUUAAAUACACUGAGAUGAGUGGUUGGGUCAGGGUUUCACAAUGUUAAACUACAUGGCAGACUUGGCCCUGUCUGUAAAAAAACUGUAGCCCAUUGUAUGUCUGUAUCCUGGCAAUUUCUUAUUACAGGGACAGAGCUGACCACCAGAAAUCCAAUCGAAAGCAGUACCCGCACAUAAACAGACCAAGAGAGGCAAAGAAAUUAGUCUCCUGACUUUGGCCACAGAUGUUUGCUGAAAUUAACACGUGCAGAAAGCCCCUCGGAGUAGCUUUAAAAGACUUUUAAUAAGGGAUAAUGUAAAGUGAUCAGAGAUGGUUGGGGCCCUGUUACUCUUCAGGCUGCUCUCACAUCUGUGCCACAUCCUUAUCCCGUCUCUUGAGACCAGUCCAGGACAGACAUGAUAUUUGUGCCACAGUGUCAACAGGCCAAGUUGAAUUGUGUGUGUUCGAUCAGAUUGCCCCUGGCUUCAGUUGUCUACUGACGAUAAAUUCCUGCUGUGAUGGAAUUUUGACCAAUCAGAAUCAAGCAUUUAUCAAAAGCCGGGUAGCAAGGUGAUGUAAAAAUGAUUAAAAUGCAACCAAAGCUAAAUUAAACCCCUUGAAGAGAAAAUAGGAGCAAAGGAGUGAGAAAAGGAAGAGCAGAAAGGUCAGAGUUGAGAGAAAGUGUCAAAUAACAACCAGACCUCUCAUUCCUGCCUGAUCUCACAGAUGUACACAUUCACACACAUGCACAUGUGGUAAAUGUUUCAGGCGCAGAAUCUCCUUUGAGGUCAGUGUUUGUUUUCUUUUGUCCCUCUCUUCUUUCCUCUCCUGUGAUCCAAGGUGACAGGGCAGUGUUGGGGUAAAAAGGGCAGGCAAGCAUAUAGUGCACUGGCAACGAGAUUGAGCAGCCGGAGCAGUAUGGAGGGGACAUGAAGGCCCAUCCAGAGGCCUUAAUUCAAUAACAACAGCACUGCGAUGAAGACUUGGGGCUGGGGGAUAAACUGCUACAGUCAGAGUUAGAGGAGAGGGGAGCGGAUGUAGGCAUGAGGAGAAAGAAUCAGAUUACCAUGCAGUUAAAGGGGAAAGGAGGAUGACACUCAUCCGACCUGAUUUAAGCGACAGAAGCGUAAGGAAUGAAGUCCUCAGAUCGUCUGUCCCUUGACCUCGGCAAGGAGCGUUGAGUGUGUUAGAGAGGGUAGCAGAAGAAUCACUCAUGCUUGGAGUGAGAUGGUGCCUAAUCGUCCAGAGGUUGGGAUUGAGUAACUGUGACUGGGUGCAUCCGCCGCUGAGCGAGGGGCAGAGGAAAUCUGAAAAGCUAAAAAGUCAUAAUCAGGUUUUUUACGCAAGUGGGCUGCUCGAGGCUGUGUGUGCGACAAGGCCAUCAGCCACUAGUGCUCCUGUAGAUGUGACACAAGUCAUUUCACCUCAGCUCCACUUGGCUCAUGCACAUUCACAGGAUGGAAAUCGUGCCCUGCUCUCUUUGUGUGCGCAUGAAGCCGGUCUGUGCAGCUGGCUGGUUAGAUUGAUGGUUUUUAGUCUGCCUAUCUGCCUUUUUGCUUUCUACCUCAAUACCCUCUCUGAUCCUUUUUUGUCUGUCUUACAAAAUCAGGUGCUGUAAUUGUAUCAAACAUGGAUAAGAAUCAGUUUUAUCCCGACAGUAAGAGCCUCUGUGAUUAUAGUUAAAGUGCCCACAUAUUUUUCUUUAAUGUGUGCGUGGUUUGAUCUUUCCACCGCGCGCGUGUGUGUAUGUGUUUAUGUCAGUGCAUGUUUGUCUUAGACUAUUGAUCCAGCCAGCCCACAGCAGACAUUAAAUGAAAAGAGUAGAGGCUGAGACCGACAGGGAGAAAGAUGGAGAGAGUGAUGGAUGGCAAUAAAAGAGGAAGGAGCUGCAGGCGGGAAGAAAACCCCACCUAAGAGAGAACAAGGCCAAUGAUUUGAAGCUUUUAAAGUGUGGAAACAUUUAAAGAUAUAACCAGGUAUGUAGGAACCAAAGCUUGCACACUGAUUUAACACAUCGUAACAUCAUUUAUACUUAACCUUUUAUACAAAAAUGCAGCCCAAAGUGUUUCAAAUAAACAAAGAGAUGUCAGAUUAGUGUAAAAUGUUAUAUAUUUUUUUUUGUGUGUGUUGCAUUUUUGGUGCAAAACAAAUUAGGGCAUGUCCAACUGCUUUUCAGUUAAGUGGUGUGAAAUCACAGCACCAUGAGCCAUGCUUACAUGAAAAUUGAAAAUUUGAAAUUGAAAAUUUCUUGAUCCAAUUAAAAAUAUGAGGGUUCAGAUCAUCUGAAUCCACUGUUUAUAUCAAUAAUCCGAUCAUGACGUGCGUAUACAUGCACCAAGCUUUAUUCGGAUUAUUUGGACAUGCGCAGACUUGUCUGAUUUCGCAAAAACAACCGCAGAAGAAGAGGAGUUGUAUUUCUGCUGUCAAGAAACCAACAAACGCGGCAGUGGAUCACGCCAUCCAAUUCAGGAGUUUUCACCCCUGUUAAAUAAUGUCACUAGAUGGCGCCCUUGCGCACUUAUUUUACCGUUCUGUCAAAGGUCGCACUGUGCGUGCGGCUGUGACAUCAUUACGCUGUAUGUACGCCUUGUUAUGUUACCGGAAGAGCAGACACGGUAGCUGCGGUUGUGUUUUAAGCCAGUUAAUUAAUUGUUAAUUGUUAAUAAUGAGACCUCCUGUACUGACCUCAGUAAAUGAAGAGUGAAGAUCGACUCAGGUAAGAGUCAUGAUCAGAAUUUGUGUUUACAUGGACGCGUUUCGGAAUAACUAUCGGCAUAAACCACCCCUCUUGAUCCGAAUACAAUUUCUUUCCAAUUGAGCCGCAUUGGAUCAGAAAUUGACACGUUAACAUGACGCAUUUUCAUUCUGAUCGGGCAUUUAUUCCGAUUAUUUGUGCCCAUGUAAACGCAGAGUUAUGCUGAGUUAUGUUGGUGGAUGGAGUGAUGUUAAAUCAACUGAAGCAGUUCCUCUUAACAGCAGUGACUCUACAAAUCAACAGAGACAUGUACAUUUAUAUUCAUGUGACACAGAAGUCUUAACUUUAUCAGUAAUUCAAAACUCAGGGCAUGCAGACAGUAUCUUUCAGGCAGGGUCUAAUGUUAGGUGAUGUCCCGUGUAUUUUGCAUGAAAGAAAGGGCGACUGUUAAUCUUUAUUUCUGUGUUACUGCUGCUAGAUCAGUCAGUUGUACUUUGUCCCGCGGGUGCAACAGAUAUAGUUUAAUCUCUUGAAAUCUGUGGGCAAAUUUGUCAGUGCCAUUCAGUAUUAGCGAAUUGAACAAGUGUCAUUUGGUGAGUGUGUUUGGGUGUGUUCCUGCAUAUACUUUAAGAGUGAGAUGUAGACCUUGGUGACAGCAGUCUGAAGUUUUUGGUCCCUGCACAGGGUUGAUUUGAAGCUGGUCUGUGAGGAAAUAGUGUUAAGGUUAUCUUUAUUCUAGUACUCUGUAACCAGCAUCGUACUUUAUCAUGAUUGACUCUCUCCAGAUUGGGGAAAAUGCAGGUGUCUGUGACUGUAUCAGGGAAGAAUAUCCCUCUGCUGUGCAUCUCUGUCUAUGUGGAAAAGCAGAGGAGCAGGCCCUGCGACAUGGGCUUUAGACUUUUGACCAGGUUUUUGUUUGGCUGGUUUAAGGCGCAGGUGCUUUCUGUGUCCCCAAGAUAGAAAUACAUUCAUUCAUUCAUUUGCUAUUUACACAAUCUGGGCGCUGGGUGUACUUCUGAUCAGUGUGUUGGGUGAGAAUAACAAAACACUUGCACUGUAGGUCAAAAUGCUUUGCAGCAGGUGUACAAUGAGGGCCAGAUAGUUACAGAAGACUCUAAUCAGGUGCUGUUUGUACAUCAUACCUUAGUUAAAAUGCUGUUUUGACAAUAUAUGGUAGAAACUGAAAAGUUUUAGAUGUUUUCUUGACGAAUCAAACCAUCAACCAUUUCUUCGAUUGGAAGCUGGAUAGGCAGGGAAAUGUAUGGUAAGUGUGUCGCAAAAUCGAACUGGGACCCUCAGUGAGCCUCUCUGGCUGAGUCCUGCCCAGCCAGAGAGGCUUCACAUGUACUCAGAAGGCUUUGUCAGACAAGGAGAAGCAGUGAAGAAUCUCAGUGAUCCCUGUGAAACUUAAAAAGAAAGACUUCGAAUUUUGUGGUAGUAUCUUUUAGUAUUUUUAACAGAGCACUUUACCAGAAAGGACAGAUGCUCCCAGUGUUUUCAGUGUUUCCCUGUCAUGUCACACAGCUCAAGAUACCUGAAAAUGACAGGGAGCAACUCAUGGACAUUGAGGGAAACUCUGUCGAUAAGCAUGAAAACACGACAUAUAAGAGUGACUCAUGGUAUACAGUGAACAUAUGCAGUGUCCAGUAAAUGUGUACUUAAAAAUCCAUAUAAUAUAUACAUUUAUUAUGUGUGUGUGCGCGCGAGUGUACCACAGCAGCAGGAGAAAGUGGCCCGCAGAUAUGAGAACAACCUUGGGGAGAGUGAGAGAGCUGCUGUAGCUCCUGUGAGCGCUGUAUGCCUCCCUUACAUGUGCUCUUUGUACCUCUGCUUUUCAGUCAAUCUGUGCUCUGCACUCUUUCAUCCAUUAGGUCUUUCUCUUUCUCCUGCGUCACAUUUUUUUUUGUAUUAUUGGACUGUUUGUCCUGUUCAUCUGGGACCUUAAAGCAGCAGAGAAAACAUACACUGAAAUAGUCCAUAAUCAUGUGUGUGAUACACUCAGAGCAGGUAGUGGAAAUUUAAAAAUGUUUCCAGCAUGAUGGCUUAAUAAGCACAGGUCUGUGCAGCAAGGGGGCGGAAAAUUAACAGGUUCCCUCAUCCGUCACUGUAAGAAUCAUACUUUGAUUACAUGCCAUGAAACACAUGCACACAGGAAUGCACUUUUUCACAUUUCACAUACUGUAGAAAUUGUAACAGCAUGUCCUUGCAAUUCAGAUUGAAGGCACAUCUAUGUCUAAACUGACAGGUACUGUAUGUCCAUAUGCAGAUGGAGAAACGUGUGUCAGUUGUUGUAUACUGUACAUACAACAUACUGCACUCACAGGAGGUCAAGGGCACCAUCUGUGCAUGUUCAAUACUUAAUUAGAUCCACUGCCACUGAAUAAUGUAUAUUUAUGGGACAGAAAUACCUGAGAUCACGCUGGUCGCUCAUCUUUCACACAUUUCUUCAUCAACUUCUUUGAAGUUUCCACAAACAGUUUCCUGCUCACCUUCUCUGGUGGCAAAAUGAUGAAUCCCAUUAACUCCAGGGCUUUAUCUUAUUGAAUUCAACAUCCACUAAAAUAAUACAUCAACAAACACUCUUUAAAAAAGCUAAAGAGGUUUCCUUCCUGUAAAAGAACAAGUGUUUAUUUGAGUUAAAUUUGAUUACAGUAUAUUUUGAUUUAAUUUAAUUAAAAUCAAGAAACAUCAGCAGCGGCAAAUAAUCUUUUCCAACCAUACCUGCAGUGAUGUUUGUAUCUGCCGUGUAUUUUAAUUCUUUACAUCCCCAAAAACUCUUGAACUGGCACUGAUGAGGCACAGUGAUCUUUUUUUCCACAUUAACAUGAAAAAUUAAAAACAUUUAUCAUCAAACUUAGUUACGAACUGUCGCACAGUAGUGGUUUGACAAUUUUAUCGAAUUUCUAACAAGUGUUUCAAGCUGCAAAUAUGAGCGUAUUUCAGAAAAAUUCACCCACCACAGCCGAAGAUUCCAAUCACAAAAGUUGCAACCACCUUUAAGCAUGUAAAUCAAUUUUGUAUAACGCUUAAUGGACAUUAGUGUUGCUGAAUUUACCUAAAAGGAAUUUAUUGUUUUUAAAUGACUCCCCCUGCCAUGUAUUUUAGCUGCAGUAUCACUCCAAGCUAAUCAUGAUAACUUCUUAUACUUGACUUUUGACCUCCAGGGUUGCUAGCAGAGACUAAUAGCAUACAAAUAUCUCUAUGUGUAAUGAAAAGUAGGAUUUCUCUGUAACCAAACUCAAAGUGUGUCACAGAGUGUGAGUUCAGGUUAUGUAAAAACUGUGUCAGCCUUGUACAUCUGUUCCCAAACAAUGCGGGAAUGAAAUCUGAUAUCGUGCUGAAGCUCAAAAAAGGAGGAGCUUUGUAAUGCCUGCGUAUCUCCUCGCUGUCAACACUGGCGUGCUCAUAAAACAAGGCCUCAUUUUAAGUCAAACAGGAAAUCGCCUGCACAACCCUGGGAACAAACAGGAGAGGACAGCAGUGCAGUCUGAUUGGGCCACUAACGGUGGCUGUCGUUACAAAGCACCACUGUAAGCUCCAUCGAUUAUCAAAGGGCUCCGAGCUCAGACGGGGAGUCGACUGAUCUUUCCCAAGCUCAGACAUGAAAAGCCCCCAGUGACAGCUCAUAGCCUGGGCUAGAUCACACUGCUGAUGGGGGGAGGCUGCUGUGGUGCCUGUUUUCUAACCACCUGCUCCACAGGCCGGGGUUUUGUUUUCUUGUUUUCUCUCUUUUAGCGCAGCGCUCUGUCAGGGCCAACAAGGAUGUGCUUUCAUAUGAACUCAGGGCCAGCGACAACAUAGGUGUGUGUGUGAGACACUUGGUAAAACAAUGCAAGACAACCUUUUAUUAUGGCAGCGCCUCAUUACUUUUUAACCAGUGUAAUCGUACGUGCUGCUCCUCAUGAAUUAUUCACAGGUGAGCUCUUGUCACGGGAAUGACAGGGGGGAUAGCAGAGCGCUGCAAGUGGAAAAACAAGCACAAAAAUAGGAGAAUUCACGCUUCGGGAAAGCAGUGCCGCUUCAUACCUUCCAUUAACUUAUGAAGACUUCAUGCAGGCUAUUGAUUAUGUAUGUGAACAGAGUGUACACUAUGGUGUUGAACAUAUGGGUCCCACACUGAGUGUCCCUUUUAUCUGUUACAUGACAAAGUGAUUUUCAGACCAAUUAAACCAAUUAGAAAAGUGGUCCAAGGUUUAAGCCCCAGUUUGUUCUCCUAUAAUCAUCAAGACUUUUUAAAGAAAAAAGAGAAACAGUGGAAAAUGUUUGAGGUUUUUUUUAUUGUUGCUGUUUUUAUUUUUAGAGAAAAAAGAGGGAAAGUUACUACUCGAAAAUAGAUGACACCUCCAUCACUGUUCUUCCCCUAAGCUGCACCUCAUAUCACGUCUUCCCAUUUAUUACACUAACUUCCUGCCUCAUGACAACUAAACCCUGAGAUCACAUCCAAACUAAAUGGCCCUUCAAGAAUCCCUCUGAUGUUGAAACCAAAUCUACAGCCUCUGAGACUUUAUUGACUGAACUGAAAGUGAAAUCUGAGACGAGUUCAGAUUUCUGCUGAGUGGUUCUCACAGCCAUGUGGCACAAUAUCGACACAAAAUGUCUAUUCAUAGACUUUUAUCUAACUCCCAGGCUCCCGUGAGAGUCUGCUGAUGCCGCCACACAUCCCUUCAGUUCACAGCUUUCUGAAACAUCUACGAUCAAUUAGGAACCAAUUAAACAAGGUGUUAAUGAGCUUCCUAAUGCCUUAACAGCUAUGCUUUCUCCGUUAGGUUUUCUUUGUUAGGAGACGUAUUCAAGUUUGACUUCAGUUCUCUUUGUCUCAGGAUUUUAACCUGUCCUUGAUUUUCUGUUUGUUCUUUAAGGAGGAUGGUACAGAAAUAAGCCUGGCUUUGAAAGGGGGUUCCCAGAUCUGCAACAAAACAUUUUAUUCACAUAAGAGUUACACAUGUUGAAUUUGACUUGAUGCGACUGAAACCAUAAAAAGCAUUUGUUCCAUUUUAUCCUUAAAUCCUAUUUAAAGAUUGUGCGUGGUAGUGGUGGUGUUUGAACGAUAGCCCAAAUAGAAAAAAAAAGCUACAUAAAGAGAAAUGUGAUUCAAAUUUAUUAGCCUACAUAAAAGUCAAAAGUGAAUGUAAUUGCAAAAAUGAGCUGCAAAUAAAAGUUCACGGGACAUAAAAAGACAAAUUAAGUGCAUUACUGGAAAUAACAAAGUGGAAAAGACGAGGCAGUGACCUUGUUAACAAAUCACACAAUACUGCAGAGUGUCUUUGAGGAUUGUGCUUCCCUGACUACCGCAAAAAAAAAAACACACAACAAAAAAAGCCCCACAUGACUUUGAUCGAGAAAUAGUUUCCGAUUGUUCGGGUCAGUGUGACUUACAUUCAGCUCAGAAGUUUUACGGCUCAGACCAGCUUACUUUAGCUGAUAACCUUUGUUGGAGAUCUAUAAUUAUGACCCCCCCUGGUAUGUAGGUCUGAAAUAGAGCGUUAACCUCUGCAACCAUGUGGUUCACAGUGUAUUUGAUCAAAAAUCUCUCUUUUCAUGAAAAUAAAAGAACUGUAAUAUACUGAAACCUGUUUCACUAGAUUCUCGUAGAGGCGCCAUUGUUGCCAUGUUUGCUGCUGCUUUUUGAAUGUUUGCUUCAUGGAUUUGGUUUCUACGUGUUUUUGCAGUCCAUCUGCUGUUGAAGCAGUUUUUUUGGUCAUGUUCUGUGUGUAUAGAUGUGCAUCGUUGCUAAAUUUGCAGCACAUUUUUAGAGUAAUUAACUUGAUUUGUCCCUGACCGUCGAGAUUUGUAAAACAGAAACCUACUGUAACCAUUUUGUUGUACCACUGGAAUAAAAUUUUGGCAUUUGUUAUGUAAUCUGGCCCUCUUUGCUAAAUUUGCUGCAGCAUGAUUUGUAAUGUAUUAUGUUAUAACUCAGCUUUAGUAGUUCCACUGACCAACACUGCCCACGCAGGUUCAAACAACCAGGCCACACUCACAAACACACUUGUUUGUGUGAGUCAGGGCUUUGAAUGUGUGAGAAAGUAAAAUAAAAUUAAAGGUGAACUCAGAAAAAAAAAAAACUCAAGUUCAACCCGGCUAUUCUCUCGCUCCACUCCUCCACUUUCUGAGUCAACCGCCUGCUUUUCAAGGCUUUCAUCCACAGAAUGCAGAGUGAAUCACGACGUUUAUAUCAUUAGAUUUUUUUGACAAACUUUGUUUAAGAAGUUGAAAGUGCUGUUAUGCUGUGUAGGGAAAGAGGAAAGAAAAAGGAGUGCAGAAGGAGAUGACCCACUUAGUGUAAUUAUCGCUAACGAAGAGACGGGGAAGUUGUGAGCUGGGGAAAACACAUGGGCCUAAAUGCGUUAAAUUAAUCCAGAUAAUUCAAUAGGCGAUGAUGAAACGCCACAAUCAAGCCCCCUCUGGCUCCGCUGUUUGACUGAUAGUGCACUGGGCUGUUUUAUGUGGAUAGUUUUCCAUAACCUUCUUCUUUGUGGCUGCUGCAUUGUGUUUGUCUGUGACACACUAGCAUACAAGCACAUUAGCACACACACACGCACACACACGGGUAAACACACCACUGUAUAUUGUCACCCUUGGACAUUUCCUGAGCCUCAUGUGAGAUUCAUACGAUGCAUUCAUCCGUGGCUUCCCUCUGGGUGUAUGCAAGUACGGCGUCUGAGGUUUGGUAACAAGAUCAUUAAAAUAAUCAAAUUAUGAUAAGAGAGAGUCAGUCGUGCUGAAACUGGUUGUUUUGAGUCCAUCAGAGGCAACGCUGUUAGUGUGCAGUGCGACGAGCGACAUUAGCUGACAGCAUGGGAAAAAGCCUGCGGUGGCUCUAAGCUGUAAUAACAUUAUACCGCCGCUUUCUCACAAUAACAACAUGGCAGGAAUGAAAGAAAAGUUCCUUUUUUUUGUGAGUUAAGUGUCCCACUUUCUUAGCCUCAGAGCAAAACAACGCUCAGCCAUCAGCUCGUGUCUUAAUAUCAUGUCGGAGGAGAUGUCUGCCUGGCUCACCUCCUGUUAGCAGGCUGCUGGUCUGUUUCUGGAGGCGACACAGAGCAGCAUCUUCUCCGAUUUAUCACCACAGAAAAAGAGAGAGAGGAAGAAAACCCGCACGUGUCUGCACCUUUACCUCCUGUACAAAUAUUUGUUUCAUGAAAAUAUAUCCCCCACCUUUAAUUACAAAUGUGUCUCUCCUCUUGCUUACAAACACCUCCUUGGAGAUGUCGUGUUAUUACUAUUGCAGUUUAAUCUGAAAAGGAAUUAAAGCUGCAGUAAUUAGUUUAUAGUGCCGUCUAAUUGUCUUAUUGUGUUUUUAAAAACAUUGCCUCAUCUCCUCGGGAACUUUGAAAGUAGGAUAGUGUUUCCCCUCCUCCUCAUCAACUUCUCUCUCCGCUGUACAACACAACUAUUCAUUUAAACCAAUAAUCUCCAAGUCAUUACCACUUAUCAAAAGGGCUGCAAAUUAAUUAUGUUAACUGCAAGACUUUUCAUUAGAUCUUUAAAUUUGUACACUUCAUCAGUUCUGAGAACUCAGCAAUUUGAUUACAGUUGAUUUCUUUCAAUUUAAUGAGGCAAGCAUUUCUUUUUUUCCCUCCUUUUUGUCCAUUUUUUUCAUUAAUUGGAUUAUGAUCAAUGCAAGCUUUAAUGUUAUGGAAAACUUAACCACAGCCCCUAUCUACUAUGACACAGUUUUGCAGUGGAAGAUUACAGGAUGCCGUAUCUUCAUUCGUCAAAUAUCAAACUGUCUUUUCUUAACGAUGUUGGAAUGAAACGUUGCUAAUCGCUGCUGACGAACGCACACUGCUGCUCUACAAAGAUAAUGAGUCUGCCAGAGUCAAGGGGAGAAACAAACAGCCAGGGAGAGAGGAGAGGAGACUGAGAGGAGAGGAUGUGACAGAUCAACAAAACACAGAUACUCCGAGUAAAACUACAGGCUGACAACUCAUGUAGAAAAAGAAAAAAGAAAGUAUAGCUGGAAGAGAAAAGACAGGGCGCGACGGAAAUGGAGGAAAGAAAGAUAUGGAAAAGGGUGUGAGGAGAGCGUCACAUUGUUUCAGGUUCGAGAGCUGACCUAAAUGGAGAUGUGAGGUAAAGCUGGAGAGACGGAGUCAGAGACAUUAGUGAGACACAUGUCAACCAACAUGGGAUGUGAGGUGUGAAAGAGAGAAACAGAGCGAAAGAGGGAGAAGCGGAAAGGACCGGGACGAAAUCAGAACAUGUUGAUAGAAAGGCAGACAGACACCCUCUCCAGGUGCGUCCACUUCUGGAAACUUUUGUGUCACACUGAGACGGAAAAUGAGCACUUCCAACCCGUAACUUUAAAUUUAAUUACCCCUGCUUAUUUUCUUUUUGUUUUCAGCUAUUUGACCUGACAGACGAUCUGCCAGCCCAGAUCUUUAGAAAACCUGGUGAUUUAUACCUUCCACAUGGUACACACAGAAAGACGAUUCAUGGACGUGAAAUGCACCUGUGCAUUUUAACCUCCUCCACUCUGGACCCAAAAUGUCACACAUACGCAGAAACUCACACACAUGCGGACACAUGUACACACAAGCACACACACACAGGUGCUGCUGGGUGGACCGCAGGGAAGAGGUGAGAGCGUUCUCGCUUCGCUGAGUGGAAAACCUGAUCUUCUUACCUCAGCAGCUUCAGAUGGAAGGACUCAGUGGAGAGACAUCUGUGUGUGUGUGUGUGUGUGUGUGUGUGUGUGUGUGUGUGUGUGUGUGUGUGUGUGUGUGUGUGUGUGUGCGUGUGUUAUAAGAAGGAAAGUCUCACCAGCAGAGGAGUAAAGGGAAGAAAUUGAAUAGGGAUGUUAAAGAUAGACAGACAGAGCUGGAGAUACUGGGCCCUGGGCUGUUGUCAUGACAACAGAUUAGCAGGCCAUAAUGUAAACAGGUGUCUCCUUUUAACUUGAUCAAUUUGGCUAAAUGAGCUAAUCAGCACUUGUGAUAUGAUCCCUGGCUGAAAAGAAGAUGAGUGAGCCCCCUCAGACCUCUCCUUGUACCUAUUUUCUUUACCCUGUGGACCGCGCAUGUAAAGAAAGAUAAUGUCUCUUACCUCCUGCUGAUGAACAAAUAAAAGCCAAAAUGUUACCAUAAUUGCUGCAGUCACACUGGCCCUCACUUGUCAAUCUUGCGUAGAACUGAACGCAGAUCUGAGCACAGGAUUCAUAGUACGAUGGGACACACGUGAGAUUUAUGAAAGGGUUCAUAUCUGACCAAUCCCAGCAUACGUAUGAUCGGGUCUUGAUAAAUGCAGCAGCUGAAAUCGAUCAUCAUUAACAUGUCACACCCUUAAAUAUUUGUGGUUUAGAAGCCUCGCCCACUGAGGUCAAACAUGAAAGAGGAGAAAUAUUAGAAAGAUUCGAAACUUUUCCGAGCUGAAAGUGGAUAUCCUCACAUCUGUGGUGGAAACUAACCAGGAUUUGUUCUUUGGAAGCAUCAAAACUGGUAUCGGCAGUUUGAAUAAAUCAUUAGUCAAUAAGUUGCACAUGAUGAUAAAUUAAUAUCUCAUACAUGCCUCAUAUUUUUUUAUUGCCAUGACAUAAGGUACAUGUCUCCUAAAAUUUGAAGUAUUUGGUUUUAAUUUGUUGCGUCUUUGUAAUGUAGAGCGGACUGGAGAGUCUGACAGAGGCUGAACAAAAAUACUUAUUAACGUCACUAAACGGUGCGUUGCUGCUCCUGAGGCACAUUUUUAUGGAUUUCUAUUGGAUUUUUAUCACUGAUUAAAUAGCAAGAGCAUUUCAGAAUCCAUCGAUAAGGUCCUGUCCCCUCUGUACAGCACCUUUGUGAGUGUCCUCGUUAUUGUUCUCCGGGCAUCGGGUCCUCAUGUUGCACCGGCACAGCCAACGGCACUCCAUUCACCAGUGCAACAUUGUGCAAAACUGUCCUGGCCCAAAUGAUGUCCCACACCCUUUAAGGAGUGUACAACAACGUCCCCGCUGCUGGGCGAAGACAGAGACACCUGCCUUUAAGGAGUCAAAUGUGCUCGUGUGCACAAUGUUAAAACGGCGCUCCUGCUCUGUGGCAGUGUUUCUGGGCAGAGUUAUCAAAUAGGCCUAUUCACUAAGGACAUGACAAAUUUACUUUACUUUAUUUACGUCUUAAUCUUUAAUGAAAUUUGGCUGAUUGUGCUUAAUGACAGGUUUAAGGGUUGUUUAUCAAUUAUUUUCAGACAGACAUUUGCUGCACCGCAAAUCCACACUGACUCAAACUUGCGUACACGAUGUUAGACCUGUAGUGAGAUUUGGUUGUAGCGUACGCUCAUGUGCAGAUUGAUAAAUGCGGUACGCAAGGUGUACAUAAGUUGUCUGCCGUACACAAGCUUGAUAAAUGAGGGCCAUCGUGUCAGAGAGCCAGAGUCUUCAAGCUCGGAAACACCAAUGUGCUUUCAGUGAGACAGCACUGACCAUAAAGCGCUGAGAUUGUUAAUAGAGCAAAGAGUGUAGACUCAAAGCAGUGUAUCUUGGGUUGGAAUUUCUUAAAAAUAACUAGAUCAGCUUUUGUGGUGAAAUUGGUCUUGUCCAUUCCUUGAGCUGGUGUUCAUCCAGUGGUUUCAAAGCAAGUAAAAGGGCUGAUCAGACAAACAAUUUCUGUGGGUAAAAACUUUCUCUUGACAAGUGCCUCAUACAAGGCCUCAAAUACUGAACUCUCUCCUUUAUUAAUGUGUGAAACGGUCCCUCAGGUUGAUACAGAACCCAGUGAAACUGUUUUUAGAAGAAGUAGAACUUUCUUGGUCCUCGAAGGAAAAAUUAGAGUCAGUUUCGAACAGUUGUGUGCUCAAUGACCCCUGUGUUAGUGUUCAACAUGUCCUCUCUCAGUCAGUACGUUGACAUGUUGUUCAAAUAAGUCAAUUUAUUGCCUCAAUCAGAAUCAGUUUGAUGACUGCGUGUGUCUGUGGAGAACUGUUGGACAUGCUGCUGUCUCGUCCAGGAAACCCUUGCAGAUGAGAUUUUUAAUCUCAAGUUUUUUUUUGUUUUUUUUCCUGGUUAAAUAAAGGUUAGAUUUAAAAAAUAAAAUAAGAAACUGGACUUUUAUUAACAUGUAAAUGCAUUAGUCAGACUGAAAAUAUACUUAAUCAAACUUCUCAUUGUCAGACUAACAGCUCAAUCAAACUGUAACUGGCCUCAAACAUUCUGCACAUGCCCCAGGGUUUGCACACCAGAUUUUGUGAACAGCAUUGAUAUGUUGCUAGGAAGCCAGGUAGGUUAAAAAAAAUAAACCUUGACAGCUGAAGGAAAGAUGUAAAAAAGACAAACCUUUCCUAACAAACAGAAUAGAGCUGUAAAAGUGUCAGGGUUUUCAUCGUACGACGUACCUACAACUGGCCCUUUGCUUAUGCACUUCAUUGGCUAUUUUGAUACUUAAUCCGUCAACCAGGAAACAGUAACAAGCUGAAAGGGACAUGCCGCCACCUACUGUAGCACAGGCAUUUUUCUGUCAAUGAUUAGACUCUUGCCCAGUGCGUGUAAACUGAGGCAUGGACAGUAGUCCAGUGAAAUCGCCUAAUCGAGCUAGAACAGUAGCUCGACUUUACUCUGCAGGUUAACAUACUGACUUUUAUCUCUGGCACACAGUCUCACAGGCACAGCAUUUAUCAGCAGAGCUGUCAGUCAAAGAAUAAUACCCCAUAAUAUUAUAAAAGAGUCAACAAAUCUUCCACCACCUGGAAGACAGUGGAUGUUGUGGGCUCAAGAAUUUGUAUUGAUGGAUGUUUAGAUUGUAAGAACUGGACAAAUGGAGGAUCAUACUUAUCAUGCAUCACAAGAGCUUCUUGUCUUAGAGGACCUCCGUCCAUCCACCAACAAGAGGGGUGAGCAGGAAAGUGUUUCAAUCGAUAAUCAUACUGUUGCUAAAUAUUCCCAUUUCUUUACACUAUUUUUGAAAGUAAACUGCUCAGAAAAAAAUAUCAUUCAGUUUAGAAAUUGCUUCAUGAGAACUUCUUAUAAGAAAAGAAACCAUGUUUGAGAGAUAUCAAUUUAUGUGUGAGUGUGAUUGUAAAGCUUCACCCAUGUCCCAUCUGUUUCCAUGGAGGAAAACUUUAUGACCCAGACUGGUGCCUGUACUGCAGGGGAGCUCCAAAUGUCAUGCCAUCUUUUUAUACAGUGUAUGGUGCUGGCAUGGUCAUAGGGUCAAGUGGAUUUAUACAGUGGUGCGCUGUUCAAUCGCCUCCCACCUGUUUGUGUGUACGACCACCCACAAUCAUCAUUAGCAUCUGACAGAGAGACAGAGCACCGUUUGUGUGGAUUAUCACAGCCACACGUGCCAUUACCAUAACAGUAACGGUAGCAGCUGAAUGGAUAAUCAGCGAGGUAUUAUGUGCUGGGAUAAUAGCACCGUGUGAAAACUGGAGACACACUCUUCGGCUAACGUGCGCGCACAACCGUAGCAAUUAUUAUGAGCAGGGUUCAUGCUGCGUUUCGCUAAAGCUGCGUUCAGCCACAGAUCUGAUUACGAUAACAACAGUGUAUCUUUGUGAUGAUGAUUAUUAGGACGAUUGCAGCAAUGAUGAGGGUGUUAUUUCCAGGGCUGAGCUUACCUUUGUGUGAGCAACAGCUGUGUGUGUGUGUGCGUGAGUGAGUGAGUACGAGUGUGUGUGAAUGUGAAUGUGAGAAAGAUACAGAAAGGGGUCUUAUCCGCUGUUAGGUGUGAAGGAGACAUCAUCUGUCACAUUUCACACAAAAGUAGCGUUAUCACUUCAAUAAUACAGUUUGUCCUGACAGAUGAAUUAUUUAGUAAAAGAAUUGAGUGAGAAAACUGUCUCUCUUCCUAUGAAUCCUGGUCUCUCAGAUGGCACACCUGUGUCUCUGGGAGUCGUAACUAAUGUUAGCAGUUGUCAUUAGGAGAGACUUUGCGCUAAUUAUCUCAUCACUGUCUGUCUCACGGGAUUCCUGCGAAAGAAUUCAAUACAAGUGCAUUUUCAUCCAAACGUCUUUAUCACCUCCAGUCUCUAUCGGGAAGGUGCAAACAUGUUAAUAAUGACAGAUACAUGGCAGGGAACAAAGAGUGGUUAUCAGGUGAAAUCAAAGACUUGCCGGUGUUGUUUUUUUUCUGAGGGAGGUUUGCUCCGCUCAGGCGUCUCAUUUUAAGAGAGCAGCGUUUUUGUUGCCUUAUAUCCCCCUGCUGCUGUGGGCAUGUACACAUUAUUAAGCUUCUCAGGCCUCCCCCCUUCCCUACACACCCGCCACCAUCCUCCCACCCAGCUCCCAGGAGAUAAUCAGGGUAUUACAAAUGAAAAGUCAGAGCCAUAAAUCAGGAGCCCCCCUCCACUCCCCUCUCCCUCUCCUCUCCUCUCCCCUCCCCUCUCCCCCCUUCAGGUCCUUUCGCGAACUCUCCUCCCCACUUCUCUCACUCUCCCCUCUCGGUCCUCAUCCGAUCUGGACAAACGGUGGCUCUGCGUGUCCUGCUGGGGAGACAAAAAACACAGAUAGGGAGUGAGAGAAAUGGAGCGGGGAGAAAGAGGGACGAGAGGGGUAAGGGGUGAGGGGGACUGAGUAAUCCGGGAUUUCCACUGGAUGACGUCAGCUGUUGGCCCUUGUCAUCCAUCAAACUCACAUCUGUGUCACAAACACUCCUGUGUGUAUUCUUUGUGUGCGUGUGUUGCAAUCUUACAUGAGUCAGGCGCAGCUGGUUGGUGUUUUUGUGGUUGAAGUGGAUGUGCAGGGACAGAUAAGAGUGAAGAAUUAGGAAUAAGAAUAAACCUGAUAAUUUUGGAAAUGUAUUUAGAUUUUUUUGGAUGGAAAUCACUCAUAAAGAUAUUUUGAAGACAAAAAGAACGAGUGACACAUAACAGAGAAAUCAGGGAGUCUUACAUGAUAAAAUAACUUCGAAAAUUCACAGCCCAUGUUGUAAAAUGUGCCAAAUAAGAAUGUCUUCUCUUUCUCACGGCAGACAGAAGGUGAUGAGAAACUGAUGUAGGGCGGGUGAAGUCUGAAAACAUCCCUGGAAACAGAUGAAAAGUUGCUGCCGUUGUGUCAAACAGACAGGAGGGACAGAGUGACACUCAGCCUGAUCCAGGUGUCAGACUGUACAGUGCAGCGGCAGCAGAUAGAAAGAGGGAAGAAAAGGAGAAGAAGAGAUAGACAGAGGGAGGGAGGGAGGCCUGUCAGUCAGUCACAGAGGGGGAGAACGACAGGCCACAAUGGGGCCCUUCAGCGCCUGGCUGAAAGUUGUAAUUUAGCAUGAAGAGCCAUCGAGGGGCGAGCCUAAAUAUAGCCUCACAUAUACAUUGUGUCUUGCAGAGAGAAUAGCAAUUAACAGCCAAUUAAAUGAAUGACUGGGGUCAGCAGCAGCAGAAAACUAAUGGUGGGUGUGUUACUGCACUGCUGGAUAAUCCAAAGAGACAAAGAGAGAGGCUUGGGAGGGAGAGGAGGCAAAUUUCUUCCACGUUUUCCCUUUUCUUUUGAGCAAGGCAGCAUAAUGAGAUUUGAAGGGUUCCAAUUAUCUGUGUCACCUGUGCUUUACAUACAAUAUGUGGCUGACAUGUAAGGCACUCAGACAUAUAAUAACUAUACUGUGAGCGUGUCAUCCUGCGUGUACAUCCUGCUUAAAUAUGGAUGUCUGCAUGUCCUCUUCAUCACAAUGAGACGAGAAGGAGGGAUAAUGUGUUGAGAGACUGUUUGCACAGAACAAGGCUGUUCAGAUAAGUACAGGUGUGAGUGUAUGCCAGUAAUAUCACUGUGUGCAAUUGAAUUUCACCAGUUGCUCCUGAAUUGAUUGGCUGGAAGGUGACAGCUUUACUAAGUCACAGCAGUAGCCUUAGCACAACUGAACUAGUCCCCCUCUAAUUGCCUUUCCUUUGAAAAGGCAACUCCUCGCUUCAAAAAACAAGACGAUUCAUUAACGCUGUGCUGGCAGCCAAACUCCCCUCCCUUUUCCUCACCCCACUUCUCUCUCCCCCCUCACUCUCUUUCCUGCAGCUGAUAACACCUUGUUCAGAACCAGCGAUCAAGGAAGAAUCAUCUCCUCCUCACCCCCAUCUCCUCUGCAACUCCACCUGCAUAAUUGCCGCACCUAACCUUUUCAGCGCUGCCUCCGUUGGGAGUCAGCCAGCCAGCCCAAUUGGGCUGCAGGUAUUAAUAGAAUCUCAUUUCAUGCCUCCAUCGGAUAAAACAAAGGUUGGGUUUUGCGGAGCAAGUUUGAUCCUAUUACUGUGACUGUUGAAGGUAAAGGUGCACUGUGAAUUCACGAAGGUGUGUGUUUGCAUGUGUAUGUAGCAGCAGGGCAAAAUCAUGGAGAGGUAGUCAUCAACAGGGAAAGAAACAUCAACAUGCGCUCCUCAGUACACAGCAUGUGAUCGUGGUUUGGGCGAAAUAAAUGUUAGGUAAGAAUAGCAUCAUGGUUUUGUUUCAACUACUGCCUUUUCCUGACGAUUUUUAUCAGAGCAUUGCUAAUUUCAGGUCCUGGAAAGCAGAUUUGUUGAUGUCAUUUUUUUUUCUUUAUCCAAUAAUCAUUUAAUAUUAUGUUAUCAAUGGUACAUAUUGCCUGUACAGUACAGGUUGGACAUGACAAGAAUUACUAUACUGGAUGAAAGCUCCUGUGAGGCGUUUUAAGACGGUUAUGAAACAGACUUGAAUUGAUACUGAUGACUCUGUGUGAUACAAUCAAGCAAGAUUGACCAAAAAUGACUAUUGAGUAAAAUUCUGGGCGCCCUCUUUUGAAGUCCAUGCCAGACAAGGUAAAUGACAGCACACUGUUGAAGCAGUUUUUUGUUUACAGCUUCCAUAGUAGAGACUGAAAAAUAGAAAGAGAAAAUCACCACCCUAACAGUGCAUAUGACAGAAGAAAUGAGAUUUACAGACCAAAAACACGCUUGAUUUUUCUGCAAAAAUAGGCAUUUUUACACAAAGAUUGACAGGGUGUAUUGGUAAAACCCUCUGGUGGACGCUCAAGGAACUGCACUUUUUUGCAUCGCCAUGUCUGCUUUCUUUUUGACCGGGAGGCCACCAGGACAAGAUCAGUGAUGAGACAGAUGGUACCUUUUUUGACCAACAGAUUCACACAAAUGAAACUUCCUGAUAUCCGAAUGAUAGCUAAAUGUAGCUGAAUAUGCAUACUGUUAGUUUACUAGUAAUAAACUUCUCAUCCCCUUUUUAGUUUAUAAAUGUACACUCUGAAGCAUACCUUUAUUAUUUAUUUCUUCUUUUUUUAUUUUAUUUAUUUUUACUUUGGGGGGGCUUCAAUGGGUAGGACAGUGUGGCAAUGUGGGAAAUAGAGAGAGGGGAGGAUGACAUGCUUGGUAUGAACAGGAAUCGAACCCUUAAUAUGAGGUGUGCAUUAAUCCACUUGGCUAUCUGCGCACUGACUUUGAAGCACAAUUAAAAUUACCUUUUGGUAUGCUAGUAUUUCAAUAGCAGUACAUAUUUGUAUAUUUGUAUCCUGUAACUAAAAGAGAAGCACAUACCUGUUCUGUUUUAGUUUGAAGGUGAUGAUUUGCUGGUAUUUCAAUGUGACAAUAGCAGGUCUUUUUUAACAUGCAUGUUUGAAUUCUAGUCAAUAAUACUUGCUUUUAAAAUUGUGCAACAACUUCUGGCCCAAAUCAUUCAAUUUGACUUCCUACUCUUUUAUUACUGUAUAACACUGUCACUUAACUCACCUUUGGUCCCUGCAUAAUUAUUCCACUUUUGGGCAUUUGCUAAACUGGCUGACACUGUCGAUUUCCACUCUCAUACUCUCAUUAUAUCAUGGUCUAAUCUUGCCAUUUCCUCUGCGUUGUUUUUGUUAUCAAUCCUGGAUCUCCACAGAGCUUAAAAAUGAAUUUGCACCAUGUUUAAUGGUCAAAUGGACUCAUGUCGUGGAUCAUAACCUUUCAGUGCUGCAGUUUAAUGAAACUCAUUAGUGGCUAAACACAAGAUGAGGAAUUCCCGAACUUAAAAUAUUCUCCAUUUUUGUGUCAGUGCAGCUUCUUCAUGUUUACUUCCUUUAAUUAAAUCCCAAAUUAAAGUCUGAUAAUCUAGUUUGUUAUCAUGCCACCUAGAGCUGCUCCUGCUCAUGAAGCAUUUAGGAUUUCUCAAAGAUCGUGGCAUCAUUAAUUUGAUUGAAUUUAAAGAUGAGAUGGUGCAUUUUGGGGGAGGACGCAACAGAGUUAUAUUUUGAGGCAUUUUUUUCUUUAUAUGAUUGGACAAGCUGGAGAGUGACAGGAAAUGUGGGAAGUAGAAAGUGAGGCAAGACAUGCAAGAGAAGGUUAAACCAGUGACUGCUGCAUCAAGGACUGUAGCCUCCAAAUGAGGGGUGCUUAGACUGCAAGACCAUCAGUGCCCUUUUGGGGGACUUUUGAGGUUGCAUAGUAUGAGAUUUUCAAAACAUUGUGGAUGCAGAUUAGACGAUAAUUGGAUAACCACUUUGAACAUUGGUUAAUAUUUGCCUUACAUGCACCAGGCUGGAGCUCAGUUUGCUUUUAAACCUUUAUUCUCUGUGUCCACCUUCAGCAAAGUGAUGAAAUCUUUGUUAAAGAUUUGCUGCAGGUCCUUGAACUGCACAUUGACUGUUCCACCACAUACUAAAGGUGCUUUUUAUGAAUAAGAUCUGAUGAUUGUCAGAGCUUACCAACCAAGUAUCAAGCAUACACAGAUAAUUUUUUUCUCCUCAUCCUGGCUGAUUCUUAGCUAGUUUUGCAUUUUUUUCCAGGGCUCUCACCACUGAUGGAAGCGCAAAGCAGUAUCUGCAGCCCACAGAAGUUGCUCAGGUAGUCGGGUUUCUCCAGGAUGAUCAGAGGGUUCGCUGUGUCUCCCAGCACAGCGUCAAGAGUAUGGAGGAGAUAUUAGGAGGCAGGCUGGUAUACCAUGAGAGGUGGAGGGGGCCAUAGGAGGGCAAGAACCCAGCAGCAGGACCACUAUCUGCUCCUUUGUGCAAGGAGAAACAGGAGGAACACUGCCAGGGCCCUACAAAAUGACCACAAGCAGAUAACUCUGGUCAGAACCAGACGUAUUGCCAUUUGCCAGAGAACACUAGAAGAGGCAGAUUCGCCAUCAGCACUCUGUGUCUCUUCACAGAUGAAAGCAGGUUCACACUGAACACUCUGCUGCUGUCCGCAACAUCCUCCAGCAUGACCCAUUUGGUGGCGGGUCAGUGAUGGUCAGGGGAAGCACAUCCUUGUAGGGCCAUAUAGACUUCGAUAUGCUAGCCAGAGGUACCCUGAUUGCUGUUAGGUACCAGAAUGAGAUCCUCAGACCCAUUGUCAGACCAUGCAUACAGGCACAAAGAGGCCAAACACACUACUGAGCCACAUUAUAGUGGGUUAAAUAGCUUAUAAGAAAGGCAUAGAUAUUGGAAUGAGAGCUAUAGAUUUCUUCACUAUGUACUUAUUCUUUUCAUCAGACCACCAGUAUCUUGUGUUUAUUUCAAAUGAUCUGGAGAGAAGUUCACUAUCAUAAGAGAGGCAAAAAAGACUCCAAAGGUUUUCAUGAGAACCAGAAUUUACUUUUACAACUACCAUCUACAAGUCAUUUUGUUUUUAGAUUUGUCUUUCAUUGGUUAUUUUCUCUUAUUUGGACCAUUAAACCACAGAGAUGAUUGCACAUAAAACCCCCAGUGAAACGGCACUUUCUGAAAUACUGAAUACCACAACACCACAGUCAAAGUUACUAAUGCUUGAUUUGAACUUCAGCUGUUGGUCCUCUUGAGCAUGUCUCAGAGCCUCAACACGCUGGUUUAUUGUAGUUUGCUGUUUAUACGAUUAGAUACAGGGACAGCUGUCGCUUUACGUGGCUGGUGAACGCACGUCAGCUGAUGUAUUGUGAAAAGUACAGGGCAGCAUGUGCUUAGAAAAUGUCCUUUUUCUGACAUAGGGUCCUUUGUGGUAUUAUACUUUAAUAGCACUGUGCUGCUACUAUUUAGGGACUACUGCCUGUCUCGACAUAUACUGACUGAUGUUGGCCGCUCAUGUAUGAGAUGCAUCUUGGGAAAUCUUUUAGAUGAGUGAGCCCAGUAUAGAGCGUGAUGGAGUGAGCUUUCUGCUUCAUGGUCAAAUCCCUACCGUAGUGAGGAAUGUACACGCCAACAUCCACGUUUACAAUGUUAGCUUUUUAUCAUUAGUCUCUCUCGUCUGUCGCUCUCUCUGCUUGAGCUCCCUGCUUCUGGCUCGUCUUUGUAUCUUUCCACUCCGUAACCAAGGCUGUGGAAGACUCUUUGCAGGCUGUUUUUCUUGCCUUAAUAAUGCAUAGAUGUUGUGGGUGAUGGCAAAGGCAUCUUUGUUCAGGGAAUCCCUGGUGUGACACAAAUUGAUGGAGAUCUAUGAGAAUCCAGCUUGUUACGAGGGAGUUGGGGCCAUUUAUUGGGGGGGGGGAUCAGGGGGUUGCAAGGGGGCAGAUAGAAGGCAGAAGAGGAGGGAGGGGCGCAGCAGGUCACCGAAGACCAGCCACCGGCUCUCAUUUAAAAAACGAUCGAGAAUGACAAAGGUUUGCUUUCAUCUAGGGUUGGGGAAAGGAACAGAGAGGCGAUCAUUAUACAACAUUCACAUACACCCACAUGUGCGCACACACGCACGCUCACACGCACGCUCACACACACACACAUUCACACAGCUCAGUGAGUCUGCUAACCUCAGCUCAAACCUUUGUAAAUUAAAAGUCUGACCAGAAAAAGCAUUUAUGUGCAAUACGUGUGAUGAGGAGGUGUGUGUGUGGGUGGGUGGGCUGCUGUCUUAAUUAGGAAUUAAUGAGGGGGGCAGGGUGAGGUAAGAAGUGAGGGCCACAUAGAGUGAGGGAGGGUGAGAGAGCGAGAGAGAGAGAUAAAGAUAGAGAGAGAGAGAGGAGGGGAUUACCUUGCUACAGUUUGGCGAGUGGGAGGGAUUCUCCUCUCACUCUUGUUCCCUGGUGGACGGAUGGGACAGGGAUCUCACUGAAAAAACAGCCGCCACACCUUCCUGUGUGGUGGACUCAUAUCCUCAUGACUUCUCAUCAAGAACACUAUGAUGUGGACCUGUGUUUUUUUCACGGACAAACCUUUAUCUCUAGAUUAAAAACGCUUUCUCCUCUGAGUAGAGAGGAUUUGUGUGAAACACUGCUGAGAGUCUGUAGGGAGAGUUCCACUUUCAACAAUUAUUUCUCAUUUUCAUUUGCAUCAGAAUACAUUAAUGAGAAAUGAGACCCUGCCAUAUACUUCAUGGUUCAGGCCUUUCACAGGAAUCUAAAUAAAGUGGGGUUUCUUUUUUCUUUCUUGUCUUCCUCUCUUUUCAUUCGUCUCUGUUUCCACACCAUCUACGUCCGUUCUUUUCUCAUCUAUAUUUAUGCACUCCAUGCUGAAAAGUUCUUCUGCGUUCAGAGCGAAGCUGUGCGUGUCUCCUCACUGCAAUUACUGAUUAAUUACAGGGAAUUAAAGCAAUUAGAACUGCAGAGAUAUACAAUUAACGAACACACGCUUCAUGACGCCACACACAGGCUGUGCAGUCGCUAGAUUGCAGUGCAAAUACCUCUCUUUCUUGUAAUCUCAUGCAGAUUUUCUUUCAUUUUCUCUUUCACUCUCCAGAUUUGUACUCCACAAAUAUGCACUGACAUACACAGACACACAGAGCAGGAUGGGGGCAGGUUUUCCAGUUCAUUAGAUAGUAUUUAAUUUGAAAACACCUCUGUGUUGAGGGAGAUGUGAGCCCUCCCAGGGGAUGAAAACUGAAGCGGGAGUGGGCGAUGAGAAAGGGAUUCCUCCAUCUGUCCCCCUCAGUUCUACAAAGUGGAGACAGCAGACACCAUCAGCUCCUCUGCAAACUGAGAGAAAGGGGGUAAAAGCGGUCUAUGUGAAGACUUCAGAGAGGAUACCCAGAUUUAUACCGCUGAAAAAGAAUUUAACUGUACAACUGUAGCCUGGGGUGCCAGUUUAGCUCAGCUGGUGGGGCAGGUGGCUCAACCACAGAGGCUAUAGCUCUUGUCACACUGGUGGUAGGUCACCCGUUUAAGUAUGAGUUGGUACAUAUUAGGCCUGGGCGAUUUGGCAAAAAAGUUAUCACAAUAUAUUUUGUCAUAUCUUCCGAUCUCGAUUGUUAUCACAAUUUCUUUUUUAAACUGCCAGUUUUAAAGCAUCUGUACUAAAAACUAAAGAAACUAGAGAUUAGUUCAACAUUUUAUUAAGAUACAAAGUAAAUAAAGAAUAAGAUACACUAAGAAAAAUAUAAAAAACAUUUUAAGUGUGUUUUUGCAGGUAUGCAGGACCCACAAUAAACAAAUCGCCCCCUCGGGGAUAAUGAAGACGCCUUAAAAUGUAAACAUUCGAUGAUGUAAACGUAGAUGAUAAGAUUGAUUGCUUUGGUCUGGUCGCUACUUCCUGCUUGCUCCUGUCAGUGUUAGUCGUCGUCCUUUUUUGGUGAACAAAAAAACCUCUUAUAUCCAUUUUUGCUUACCGUCGAGUCCACCUUCCGCCACGCUGAGUCCGUCUAUGAAUAUUUGACCUUUAAUUCAGUAAGCGGCCCGUCCCCCUUUACCUGUAAUUGGCUAACAUGUUGCCUGUGAUCGAUUGGAUUGGUCAGAUUGAUUGACAUGUCAAGAUUGAUGGGAUUAACUGAAGAUAACUACUCUGACGGAAAAAACAAACCCCAAAUCAAAUUAACAGAAAAUUUUGCUUUUAGUCUAGGGCGGGCACAGCUGACUUGGUGGGCGGGCACGGCCCUCCAAUGCCCCUAAAGGAGAUGCAUAUAAACUAGUGCUACCAGCAAUCAUCCAUUUUCAAGGGGCUGUUAUAGAUGGAUGCAAGUCAUGGCACUUCAGUCAGGAUCACAAAACUGAGUUUGUUAUGUAACCUUUUUUGUACUCACAAUAAGAAUGUAAUGACUGCAUAUUUAAAAGUCUUGUAUACUUUCACAACUCCUCUCCAAUGACCUGGUUAACUUAGCUUUGUCUAUUGGCAGAUAGCGAGUGAACUGUCAGCCUACAGUGUUCAAAAACACCAAAGUUCUCCUUACCAUCUCUAAAACACUUGAUGUGAAAAAGAAAGAAACAAACUCAGGGUACAUUGUGUUUUUCACAAGAAUAAUGUGAUGAUUACAUUAACUGUGGAGUCUGUGUGGACAACAUUAACACAUUAAGCUCGAAAACAGCCUUGUUCACAAUACCCCAUUAAACCUCAAGCUGUUGUUUUUACACUGCAAGGACGAUUAAGUGGUAGCCUUGAUCACAGGAGCAAAUUUCACUCCUCUCAAUGGUUUAAAAGUAACUAUCCAUGAAAACAAAUCUUGUGUCAUGAAAUGUAUGAGAGUAAUUGCAUCAAAGGUGUAAACCAUAACAGUGCUUUGAGUCUGAUUCCUGACUUGUUUUCAUAAGAUUCAUUUAAACAGCCUUGUUAUGAUGUCAGACAGGUGCUGACAAGUAAAAUGAAACUAUAAUGCACCAAACAAAUCACUUGCUUCAUUAAAGUGUCAGCGGGUGAAAAACAUCCAGAAGAUAAUGUAACAAAACUUACACAGGGCUGUUCUGAUCUGUCCUGAGUAAUAAAAAAACAGGCAAAUAUUAAUUAUCUGAUUUAAUGCAAAAUAUAUUUGCUCAUCAGAGGUGUGAUGGUGGCUCAGCUGCUUCACAGAUUCCCAGCCUUUGUGGUGUUUGCAUGGGUUUCCUCAUGACGCUCGACUUCCCUCCCACACUGCAGGAAAUUUGUUAGGUAAGAAUAUGACUGUGAGUGAGCGUUUGUCUAUCUGCGAUGGCCCUGUGACUGACUGACUGACUGACUGGCUGACUGACUGACUGGUGAUCUUUUCAGAGUCCCCGGUGACUGUGAAAAGGAUUGAGUGGGUAGAGACUAUAAAUGAAUUCUUGACUUUCUCACCCAGUUCUGCGGAAAUGUGAUUGUGCCAGUGUUUCAGAGGCUGUGGUUAAAGUGAAUCACUGUGAGUUAGCGCUGCAAAGACUGAUUUCUGUUUUCUGUUGAGAUGCAACAAAUAAUUUCCAACGUGGGGAGAAACAACGGCAGAGGCACAGAAGCGCUUGAAAAGGAGAGCAGAGCAGUAAGCGCACAUGCCACUAAACUAAAACAAGCAUAAACUGCACUGUUUUUGUACAGUAAAUGACAACUGACAGCGAUAACUUUGACAGCCUAAAGACAAAAAGAGGGAUUUGGAGUUUGGAGGCCUCAUCGUCCCCUCUCUUGAGUUUCCACAACAAUAACAUGCGUUCACAUUGAGCGGUGCAUUAUUUGAAAAGCAGAGAGGUUGAAGGGGAAAAACAAUUUGAGUAAACAGUUGAGAGACGAAACAGUGAAAUAAAUAAAACCUGUAGCAGAGAGAUUGAUAGGUGACAGGAUGCUCCUCUUCUUCUCAGUCUCGCUCUUUCUCCAGCACUCAGAGUAUGAUGCCCUGAAGCGAUGCCCACGGAUACACUCUCCUUUUUCCCCCCACCUCCUUUGCCUUUAUUUAAGUAAAAAGCACACCGUCUGUGUGACUUGUAUGAACUCUGAGCUCUCUCUUUGCGUUUAAAAACUUUUCUCACCUGCACAAAUACAUCCCAUGCAUCUACACGUAUCAGAGCGGCGCACCACAAUAAACCUGUCUUCUUUACCAUGAUUCCACAGCACACCGCCAGCAUCGCUUAGACCUUAUAUAAACGCUGAAAUAUUCAUACACAGGCAUAUCUCCCUCUUCUUUUUUUGCCCAUUUUCAAAGAGGAACAUUUUUCUGCACUUAAGGGUUUGCUAUAUUUAUGAGGAGAGCAGGGCAUGUGUCCCCAAGGCAGCACACAGUGACUCAUCCCAGGGUCCUACUGCAGAGAGGAGACAAGCCACAGACCACACUCUCACAUCUGUUGCAACACACACACAGAAACAUAUACAUUCAAAAGGGAGGAAAAUCAGACAUUACUUUGGAGAGAGGAGGUCAGGGUUCCUCUAAAAGGGAAGAGACAUAUUCAUUUGUAUAAUCAGCAAGAUGAAAAGGGUGUUAAAAGGUUUUAAGGAAAAUGCUACAAAAACAUGGGUAGUUGUCGAAACCUCAGUGAUCAGAAGAUUUUGCAGAAAAUCUGAAGUACUUCAGUAUUUACUUUUGAACUCAAAUUUUUAAAAGAGAGGCAAUAAUAAUGAUCUGUUGGUUACACAUCUCACACUAUAUGCACACACACAUACACGCACGCACACACAUUCAAGCCCCUGCACGUGUUUACCCAAACAGCAUAAAAUUUUCAUACUGUGUUUCUCCAGAAUUUUUUUCUCGCCAGCAUUCUUGGAAAUUUUUCUAAAUGAAGCAUGUCAUAAAUCCAAGGCUGCAAAAUAUCGUAUUACACUUCAUAUAAGCUACUUUCAACUGAUAUGUUCAAAUACAUUGAAAUACUUAACUAUUUUAUUUCUUGAUAAGCCACUUGACAUAAAUCUAAUCUUGUUUCAUGAUAUUUUUCAUAAAGAUUUGUGACAAACGCAUUGGCAUCAUUUUGACUCUUUAACAUUAAAUUCCUCAUUUUAGGCUUGUAACAGUAAGCCCUGUCUGAACAGCCCUGACUUCAGUCUGAAGGGAUCAUCUACAAAGUGCUAUUCUGACAAAAGAUGCAACAAAGAUAUUCAACAAUGUCCCCUGGAUAGGUGCAAAACCAAAAUCACUUCACACAUAAAUGCUUCGGGUUUUAUUACAAGAACUAGUUUGUGGGAAUACAGUACCUUUACAAAAUUUGGGGGGCACAUUUUACUCUCUGACCCCCUCCACGACAGGUUUAAAGUAACUACUUAAAACUCAAGGUAAGUUUUAAAUAGAAGUUUUAAAAAGUACAUUUCUGUCUUUAUAAAGUAUCAGCACGCUGUAUGGAGCCCACUCUAGAUAUUUGCCAGAAGGCUAAUAGCCUGCUUCAGCUUCGCCCUCUCGCCUGUGUUGACCCAAAGUUAGGAGAUUCAAGCCUGGUGCCAACCAAUGUUUGGCUCCAGAACCUGUCCUAAAGCUCAUGGAUGACAGCACUGAGACUGAGGCACAUUUACUACAAGCUAUGUUUUCAACCACUUCUCCCCCCUUUCUACCGACAGUCUGUGAGACCCAUAACCUGCCCUUUAACUUUAACACAUCAGACAUUCAGAUUAUGUUCACACAGAAAAAGAUUUGUAUAGUGGAUUUGGUUUGACAGCUGCUGCUUGUAAGAAAACAUGAACGUGAAUCUAGAGCAACUGAUCCAAAAUUAGUCACACUUCUUGUACCUAAAGUGUGAUCAACACAGGGAUCAAAAAAGUCUUCAGGAAACACUGAGUGGGAACCAAAAAUGUCCAACCAUGUUUUACCUGAUUACAAGAACUGAGAAGAAUGUGAUAAAGGAUAACAAAUGCAUCAUGUCGUCCACAUUCUUACCACAAAUGUCACAGUAAUGAAGGGAUUUACAUGUUUUGUGCCAGAGUGAAUUUUAUGUCAAAGAUGAACUACAAUUAAACAUUGUUCAAACUAAAGACAUAAACAUAAAAAAAACAUAAAAACAAAACAAAACCAGAGUCAAAUAAGUUUGUCUUUUUCAUGUUCAGAAUGGAGUGAGAGGAAGUCGAAACUAAUUUAGUCCCACCCCUUCACCUUGAACGAAUCAUCAAUAAUUAAUUUACCUGCUUCCAGUUAAUAAUAAUAACAAUAAUCAUAAUAAUAAUAUCACAACAUAAACAAAAGAACCAAAUAAUAUAUUAAACCACAUAUUAAUGAGGAGAAAAAUGAAUAAAUGAAAAAACAAAGAAACAAAAGGAACCAUGUCAGCUUUCAGCGGCAUUUACGCACUUGCAUUCUUGUACCUUCUAAAGAUCAUAUUUUCGUACUUUUUCCUAAACUGCCAUAUGUUUGGACAUUGUCUCGAUUCAUCAUUCAGACAGUUCCGAAGUUUCACCUCAUAAACAGAUACACAAAGGCUUUUCCUUGUAGUUUUUACUUUUACAUUAUAAAAACAAAACAAUCCCCUCAAAUAAUAUUUUCCCUCUCUCUGACAGAACAUGCCCUAGAUAUUUCCUGGUAGUUGAUUAUUCUUUGCUUUGAACAUGAUUGUGCUGUUUGAUAUUCUAUUUGGUCAGUGAACUUUAACAGUUUUGAUUGAAGAAACAAUGAAUGUGUAUUAUCCCUAUAACUUAUUCUGUUAAUGACCCUUACUGCUCUUUUUUGAAGAAUGAAUAGAGAUUGUAGAGAGCUCUUCUUUACCCUAAACCUCAGCACAGAAGGUUAAAUAUGGUGAAAAUAGAGAACUGUACCAGAAUGUGAAGUGAGUUAUUAUCUAGAACCUGUUUUGCUUUGUUUAGUACUGCAAUCAUUUUUGAGUCUUUGGACUGUAGAUGUUUUAUUUGAGGUUUCCAGUUAAGAUUUUCAUCAAUAAUUACUCCCAGAAAUUUGGUUUCUGUUACCCUUUCAAUGUCCACACCAUCAAUUUGAACCGUUGUUUGUUGAACCGUUGUUUGUGUAAUCUUUCUGCCCUUCCUGAAUAUCAUUAUUUUUGUUUUGUUUAGAUGUAUUGAUAGCUUAUUUAUAUUAAACCAUGAUUUUAAUUUACUCAUUUCUGAGUUAUUAAUGAAAGUACUUCAUUCAGAUCAUUCCCUGAACAAAAUAUAUUCAUAACAUCAGUGAACAGGUUUCAAAACAUCUGUAACAUUACAUAUAUCAUUAGUGUAUAAAAAAAACAGUUUGGGGCCCAACACUGACCCCUGAGGGACUCCACAAACAGUGUCCAAACUUGAUGAGCAGCUAUCUCCUAACUGAACAUACUGUUUUCUAUUGUCCAAAUAGCGCCAAAACUACCCCUCUGAUUCCAUGUAAUUCAAGGUUUUUAAUUAAUAUUUUAUGAUCUAUGGUGUCAAUUUUUCUUUUUGAAUCAAUGUAUAAUCCUCUUGCAUAUGCUUUUUGAUCGAUGGCGUUUGUGAAUUUUGUUUUGUUUCUUGAGGUGACAUCCUUUCCUGGUGAGUCAGUUCAGAGACUAAAUCAGAAUACUGACUGUGAAUCUCUGAACUGACUGAGGCCAUGAUACGAUGGUGCAAUGGUGCAGCAGAGAUUAUUGCAGAAAUGGGGCAAUAAGAAAAAAAAAACUGACAAAAGGCUGUGUUGUGUAUCUUUUCCCUGUGCAUCAUUACUCCAGCAAGGCUGCAGAAUACCAAAGCACACUGUACUAAACAUGAAAAGGACUUUACCAUCACAGUUUCCCUCCUGUUUCCCACAGAACAGUUUAACACAUAAUGACCGUGCAGCCGUAUACUCACACAAAUGAUAUCUAAUGCAUUCAGCUCUGAUAAUGUGCGCUGUGGCAUGUUGCAUUUCCGUACUGCUGCUCAGUACAUCAUCGUCACAAGAAGCCAUUAUGGAAAUACAGCACCUGAGGGAAGAGAGACGGAAAGAUGGAAGGAGUUGUCAGAGGGAUUGAGGGAAGGGGGAAGACAAAAGAAGGAGGUAGUUUUGUGCAAGGGUAUGAGAAAAGUAAAGGGGAGCUUACACAUAGAAAUAAGGCGUAAGGACAACAUUAUAUUCUUAUUGAGUUAUGAAAGGUCUUCUGAACUUUUACAAUAAAUCCAAUAAAUUAUAUAUAUGUAAAAAAAAAAUGUUGUUUUGACAGGAUAUAACACCUCAGUUGCACUGUAUGGAUAGCUAGCCGGUAUCUUAAACAUUUGCCCAAUUGUCUCUAAAGUCAUCCUGUAGCCAGGCUUAAAUGCAUUUCAGAUGCAUCAUCUUAAAGAACUAAAGGGAUAAAAACUUAUGUUGGGAUUUUGAGAGACUGGUAUCUCAUAAAUUAAAAAAAAAAAAAGGAGCAUAAAAAUUUUCUUGUAAUUCUGAAACAAUAUUUUUCAUAAUCUAGAAAACAGGGACAUUUUCUUUGUCUCUUUAUUUUGAGCUAAUCAUUCAAUUAAUUAAAAAAACACAAGGCUUUUUUUCCCAAGUGAAUUCAAUAUGCUUGAAUAAAGAGCUGCUUUAGCAUGAGUAUUUAAAAAGCUUUUGCCAUCUUUUGGAAUUUCCAGUUCCUAUGCAUCCUCACCUAUUUCUAUGUUAGCUCCUUUCUCAAUGACAAUACCAGAUUGGCAUAAAGGAAAGUUAUAUUUGCAGGAUUGACAGCCCCUAAGAAGACUGUACUACAUUCAUGGAUUCAUUCAUUCAUCACCCAUAAUCAAUAACAUUUAAAUUCAUGAUUUAUCAUCAAACUUCUUUGGAGAAGAGGUUGCCUCAUUAAACAUUUGUUUGACAUGCUUACGUUUGGAUUUUUUUCUAUUUUGGGUUUCGAUUGCUUCAUUUCCUGUUUUCCACUUCUGUUACAGAACUAGAUUCAACAGUAAAAUAAAGUGUAAAUGUUCAGUUUAUCAGCAAACCAAAGAGGAACAAGCUCUGUUGUUUUUGGAUUGACAAUAAAUCUUGAACAUCAGUUUUAAAAGUGCCUCAUUAUCUGUCAGAGGACUGCUUCCGCUAGCUUGGCUACUUCUUUGUUGUCCUUCAUUUUAUGUCAUGUGUUUUACAAUGUUUUUUAGUAGAAUGAUGUCGGUAUAUACUUUUUAUAUAUUGUUUUUAAAAGAUAGUUAACAUCAAUACUAUUACCACUGACUACUAUAAACUUUUUUGAACAAAAACUGUCCUUCAUAUCCUACCUUCACUUAUUAUUCUUAGAAUAUGUGUGCACUUUAUCACCUCCUCAAUGUUGAAUCUGGUCUUUUAAUCCAAAAAUUUCUCAGGAUCUAAACUUUUCUAGAUGUCAGGGGAGACGUUCAGUGUCUUUUUGGCGCUUCGCUUGUUAAAUACGGUGAUUCAAAGUACAGAUCAAUACAAUCUAAGGUAACUUUUAAACACUGACUGUGAGACCUUCACAUUUAUGGAUCUUUUCUGACUUUUUUUUUGUAUCCUUGAAGAGCAGCUUAAACACUUUUAAGAGCUGUAUGCAACUCUAUCACUUCUGUUGCAACAUCACCUCGCAUGUGUUUCCUCCUGAUCCUGUGCACACCAUCUUUCCCUCGCUGGCUCUUUCUUUUCACCAUUAUCAUAGUCUCACCUUUCCUCUUUCUGUUUCUCUUUAACCCUUCACCACCACCACCACUACCACCUUAGUCAAUAACACACAGUGACAGCUUAUGUAACGUGCCAAGUUCCAAACUGAACUCAACUCUCCUUGAUCUGCAGCCUUUUCCCUUGUCUAAAUGACUCACUUCUUCUGUUAUAACACUUCAGCCCGAGUGAGAGACACAGCGAAGGGGGCUGGGGGAGGGGUGGCAGACAGAGACAUGACAUGAGAGGAGAGGAAACGCAGGUUUAAUUAUUCAUACCUACUGCAGUAAGAGAGGAGAGCGAGCGAGGGACAGAGCGACACCGGCGACAGGAAAAAAGGGAGGGAUGGAGAGACAGAGAGAGAGAGAGAGAGAGCCUGACCCAAAUGGACGAGGUAUUCCUAGGGCAGUAGUGCACUCUGGGAGCCAAAGCUGUGCCACCCCAGGGCCAUGGGUGUGAGGGAACUCCAACAUUAGCUGCCAGAAGAGCUCAGACGGGAACAAAGAGGGAAGGAGGGAGAGAUGAGAGAAAAAGAGAUGUUCAUGAGUUCCAUGAAAACUCGCCCCUUAGAUUUAUUCUGCUUCCCUAACGCACUUUUGCUGUUAUCUAUGUUCAAUUCGCUUUUUACUUUCCCUCGAGUCCACCACGCCCCGUGAACAUGACUAAAACGGAGACUGGAAGUUUUAUCUGUAAUGCUCAUUUGGGACCAUUUCCUCCAAGGUGUGUGUGUGUCUGUGUAUGUGCACUUCUAAACAGGGGUGGUGGCCAUGAACUGGAGGACCCAGCAACUGUCGUCUCACUCCGGAGAUGCUUCAUCCCAGAGAUGGUGUGCUGCUGCAGGGAUGAGUGUUAAGACAGCGCAGGGCCUCCCCGUUCAGCACCAGAACUCCCCUGAGACCGGCUCCCUUUCAUCUUCAUGUCUCCUCAGGGUGCCCAACAACAAACCACUGAUGGAGGAAGAGUGGAAAGAAGCAAAGAGGAUGAAAAGGAGGGAAGUUUUGGCCAGAGGGGGAUGACAGCAAAGCUUGUGCAUUCGCAUGUAAGGGGUCAACCUGUUCUGUUUAUCUUAGUUUGGCUGGUACUAUUUGAGAAUGGAGUCAACAUCGCCUUGUUUUUCCCUCUUUCUCACCAGAGGUUAUGGAUGCGAGGAAAUUUAAUGUGCAUAUCAAACAUGGGUGUUAGGGGGGCUGAGUCAUCAUGCCCCCAACUCCCUGUUUUUGAUUGGACCCAGUUUGUAAGUGUUUGGCUAUCUGGUUAGUAGGCGGUAAGAAUUGAAGUUUUUGGGCUUGUAACAACAAAGUGCUACACUGUAGCAUUUCAGUGUUGCAUUAUUUUGUCUGUUCAUUUCAUUGUGUAUUGCUCAUUGUGUUAAGUGUGUUGCUCCUCUGUUGAGUUAUUUACAUGGGAAUGGAACGCCUGUAUGAUUGUGCAAAGUUCUUGAACUAUCCAUUUGUGUUCGUUUUGGCGCCCCCUGUGGUCAAAGCAGUAGUUCACUUCUUGUAGUGUUUUUGCAUAGACUGUGCAGAACGUGGAAGUAUCUCUGUGACAUCAACCAUAGGCUUCCUAAGAAAGCUCUGAAGCCAAAUGACAAUGGUCCCCUUAUUGAAAAUGCUGGCACAGCUUAACUUUUGGUGAGAGACAAAGAGGUAAAGCUGAGGUGUAAACCUCGUGGUCGGCAGCUACAUAGUCGCUACCUGUAAGUCAAAAUACCAUGGUUCUGUAGAUCUAUCCUCAACUUGCAGCCUCAACAUCAUCAAAACAGUUGGGUCAUAAAACCGUGUUUGAUCCAGACUAUAAUGUGUUCACACCAGAUGCAAACAAAGUUAUUAAUUCACCUGAAUGUUCUUUGUUUACUCGCUCAAUUUGAGUGAAUGACUCGCUCUCUAAGCAUGCUCUGUUUGUGUGCCAUGUCACAUUUACGGGAGCGCGAAAACACAUGAAUUAAUCCAAGAGAGGAAGGGUUCCUUUUUACUAUUUGUCUGUUAACUUUAACCAUAGAUAUGAUAUUAGAUAGACUAAAUUAGAUACAACUUUAUUUAUCCUUUUGGGAAGGUUCCCUCCAGGAAACAAACAUGUAGAAAUUGACUACAUUGUGAGGAUCUGUUGUGUUAAAACAUUCCUCCUUUUCCUCACUUUUCUCUGAGUUUCUUUAAACCCCUCUCUCAGAAUCAAAAUCAAGUUGUAUUGUUUGGAUCAUGAUCAGUAGCUCAUAUUGUCACGAUCAGUAUAUCCUCCAUUUUCCUCACCAGGGGAUCUCCAUGCUUAUUGGUUAUCACAGCAUGAGUGUUUAGCUCAACAUCAGAUUUCAGCUACUGCAAAUAAGCAGCUUAAGUGAGUAGGGUGUUGAACGUGUGGUGGAUUUGUUUCAUUCAUGUGUAUGAUCCGUUUAAUCAGAGUAGUCGCCUCAUUCUGCUGUUUUAAGAGGCAUUGUAACAAUAAUGUUCAUUUUAGUUUUGCUGCCACUCUCUAGUGGACAAGGUGCCGUGUUUUUUGUGCUUCUCCGCAGCCUUCAUUUUUCAGCAUCAGAGGAUACUUGUUGUUUAUUUUUUUUUUGACAAUAACAAAAAUACUUAUUCUGCUUAAUAAUCAAAAGUCACAUUCUUUGAGAUUAUUUACCUUAAAUGUGAAAAAACCUUUGGUUUGCAUUUUGGUGUUUUUAAGUGAAAGACGCCAAGGGUAACUUUUCUGCUUCUGCAGAGGAAACUGCAGUUAAUUCAUAACCCAUGAAAUUUUCUGGAUUAAAUUGGAUUUAAGACAUACAGAUGAUGUCAACUUGAUACACUUUUGAAAUCCAUUUUAACCCCAGUGAUUUUAAAGGCAGGCUUGACGAUCUGAGAAGCAGUUGAAAAAUACUGAGCCGUUGAGGCAGAUUUGAAAAAAGCCUCCCAACCCCCACACACAAACCUCUCCCCUCCGAACCUGCAUCUCCUUCCCCACGACACACCUCUUCUGGCAGAGCAUGAAGCCGGCCGGCAGAAGAUCCUACGCUAGCUUCAAAUAGGAUUGCCCAUGUCGAAUUGCUAGUGACCAGCUCUGCUAGCGAGCACCGUCUGCAGCUGCCUGGACAGCUACCGUGUUGACAUCGCAGAGACUAAUAAGAGUUAUUUAUGUAACAUGUGCCACGAAAAAAGGCAAAAAUUACCUGUUCAACAAAAACUCUGCUGUCUGGGCGUCUGUUUUCAGGCCCAAAUCCUGGCGGAGCUUUCUCCACCACUCGAAGGAUGACCCGAUGUUUAUUCGAGUUAGAUCCUCGCUUGGUCACAUUUCCUCUUCGACUCUGCCCUUUCUUCUGUCAGCUUGCAUUUUAUAAGCACUUCUGGCGGAGGGGCAAGGUGAAGUGUUUUUUGCGUCCUUUUCCAUCACAGCUCCUGUUGCUAAGCUGCUACGUUACUUUUAGUCACUCAGAGCUCCGGGGAGGGCCAGGAGAGUGGGAGGAGAUGAGUCGGAAACACGGGAGAGGGGUGUGCCGAAUACAACGAGGUGAUUGGAUGGAGAGAAGGAGAUUGACCAACGGGAGCUGUCCAGGACGAAUGGCUCCCAUUGGUCAAUGUUUUUGCAACCCUGCACCUGCUAGAGUGAACAGAUUUUUUCCGUUGUUUUUUCUCUUCACUUUGUGGAGAUCGCACUAUAGGACCAUGAUCGCCAUAGAAACGAGGUUCAUAAUAAUUACCAAUCUCUCCAAUCAUCAACCAUAACUUUAACUAUACUUGUUAAUGACAAGUUACAAACAUCAAGUUAAGUUCUGUAAAAGGUGCUAGGGUCACCGUGUCAACAUUUCCUUGAAUGUCUAAGGCUGGACUUGCGACGCCUAUAAGUCCGUGUGCCUGAGGGGCCUUUACAGUCAAAUCAUUUUAGACAUGCUCCUGAUGUCAAAAAACAAUGUUCUGUAUUUUAUCUGCUUUAGCUGCAACAGGAAGCAACAGCAGUUCCUUGGACGGGGAGGUUGGAGCGUCUUAAUAAUUCAGGAAAAGGAUCUGGGCCUUUGGGUGGUGGCCCGGCUGAUUAGCAGUGAUGUAUCUUUGUUGAUGGAGGGAGUGAGGGAGGAUAAGAACAGGAGUGAGUUUAAUAGAUAUGAGUUGUGGCAGGUGUUGGACAAUGACGGGAACAAAAAAAGAGAUUUGAACACUGCACUUCAAAAAACCUCGUUCCCCUUUCUAUUCUGUGUGAGCGCUGCCUUAUCCAGCGUUGACUCUUUCUUCUUCUCUCUUUUUCCUCUCUUAAUUGCUGCUCACUGAAUCCCUUGUUCUUUCUUCUCAUCCCCCUGUGUUCUCCUUGUCUCCCUCCUCAGCUCCCCAUGUCCCCAUGUGUCUCCCGUCUUGGGUUUUAAUGUUGUCCUCUUGAAAUCUCUGUCCCCCCCUCCCGCCCCUCUCUUUGGAUUUUCCUCUCUCUGCUCCUUCUUUUAUUCCCUUCAUCCUCUCCUUCUCUGCAUUCCUUUUGCGAUGAGACACUCACACAUGGUUUUUUUAGGAGGCAGUGAGUUGUCACGGACGCAGUGACUAAACUUCCGAUAAAAUCAAUGUUUAAUUCAGAUGACUGCAGGCCAUUGACAGAAAAAGUGGAAGCCUUUCAUCUAUAAAAAGGACUGAGAAAAACAGGGGGAUUGAGAGAGGACUGACAGGAUUAAUGGAAUUGUCAUCAGACGUAUCUUUAGCAUCGAGAGGGAAACCAUCAGCGCUCUGUUACCAGCUCUUUAUAACCCGAAUGUGUGUGACAGAGUAUGUAAAUGAUUUCUUCUUUCACCUGCUGUUCAUUCUUCCUCCUAUCUUCCUGUAUCCAUCUGUUUCAUCUCUCCGUCACAUGUGCUUCUUACACUCCUGAUGUCAGAUCUUCUUGUUCUCACAUCUUACACAUUCAGGGUAUUGGUCUUAAUUAAACGUUUCAUAUGGGAACUUAAUGAAUCUGGUUAUUAACAGGAAAAGCGAAAAAACUUGUUGAGCUCUUGCCGCAUUUCAGUGAAAUACAUCACACUUACAGAUGUGCACAUAUAAUCACAGACUGUCUGCAUGCGAAUGUGCCUACAGACGAUGGCACGUGUAUUUAGACAUCAACCCUGCUGGCACUGUGUUCAAAUGUCAGACCUUUAACCUUCUGAAUCUGACCCGAGGUGGCAUCCGGGCAUGUCAGACGCUGACUAACACGUGCAGACUGAUCCAAUAUAGACACAUAAUAGAAAAAAAAGGAAGAGGAAUAAACUAGGGCCCCGUUGGGGCACUGGCGGGCCCGAGCUGUGUCGCGCCCCCCCCCCCCCCCCCCAACGCGCUGCCUCCCCGUCCCAUUCGCGUCCUCUGGCCAUCGCCCUCUCUGGUAACGCCCAUCACUGCAAAGACCCUUUUCCUUCAUCGGCGUUUGCUGUUCUUCCUGCCAGUGCGUGUUGCUUUCACUUACACUUGCCACAGCCAGCCUCGUGAGUGCCUAGCCUAUUGGAUAUCACUGUCACCUACACAGGACAGUCAUUACCUUUCUAUUAAUACUUUGUGUUUUAAUUUCACAUUAAUUUCCAUAUUGUAUAAACGACUGGAAAAAACUUGAGCCCCUGCCCCUGUAUAAUCAUGUGCACGUCUCUGUUCUAGCUUCAAGGUGAAUCUUCACUGCUCAUGUUCUCCUCAGAAGCACUCACCUCACUCCCCUCAGGUUACUGUACACAUGCACCAACUGCCUGCUUCAGGUUUGGAUGGAGCUUCAUGGUUGUCUUUUGGAGAAAUGACCAGUCAAGUUGUGUUUGAAAUUUAAUUUUUUUCAGGGGCAAAAGGAGCCUCUGCAUUCUUGUCAAAUAUGUAAAUAGCAUGUUUUUGCAGGUGCUAAAAACCAGACUCUGAGUGUGUGUGUGUGUGUGUGUGUGUGUGUGUGUGUGUGUGUGUGUGUGUGUGCGUGUGUGCGUGUCUGUGUGUGCGUUCAAGUCACAUGACAUAUUUAACCGGAUGUAGCUGCAAGACGGAGCCUCGUUGACUCUCCGUUUCAACUUAUCUCAAAAGUGAGGACCUCAACCUAUAUACCAGUUUUUAAAUUGUGUUGAUAGGCCAAAUAAAACCAGAGUUAUGAUAAAUUAUGUCCGCGAUACUUUUUUUCUGCUUAUUUUGAUCACGUUCGGCGCUCGAUCGCGCUGUAUGAGACAGGAAAACAUAGCAUGCAGACAUUAGCGACAGGUCUUACAGGCGGAAAAGGCUUGCCAAAAGAAAAAAAAAACACACCACAAUAUCUCUCCUAUUGGUGGAAAACUUCACCACAACAACCAAUCCAAAAUUAUAUGGUGACUGAUUGACAAGGGGCAGGCGCUUACGUUCUUCCUGCAACAUGAGAAGCGAGGGAGGGACUCUCAGCAGGGAUGCAGUCUGGGACACGUAGUUGCAAACCUAGCGACUUUGUUGUUAGAUUCAAUGACUUUUCAGACCCCCUAACGACUUUUUAGAAAGAAAGGGACUUUUAUCGACUUCUUCUGGAGUUUAGAGACUCUGACAUGAAGCAGGCUUUCCUUACUGAGGAGUUAGCAACGCUGCUAAGGGUGCAGAGCCACACAUGCGCUCAGAGCUCUGCAUGGGAGACUGAAGCUGACAGAGCUGCAGCAGUUAGCAGGUUUCACCCUCAGAGACCACCAGGGGUUCAUGUUGAGGCAUUUUAAAUUUUUUUUUUUUUGUGCCAUAGACACUGUCAGCACAAUCUGCAGUUACACUGACAAAAAUGCUGCAAAAAACAAAGAAUUGUGGAAAAAUUAAACAUGGACUGACAUAGAGGAUGAUCUACACAAGUUUUUUACAUCAUGUUUUACAUCAUGCAUCAUUUACAUCAUGUUUUUUUGUAGUGGCAUAAAUAAAAAGUGACAUUUGUGAGACUAUACAGUGUUUUGUAAAUAAUUUUACAAAGAACGCCUGGGCCAUUGCCUGCAUUUUGAUGUAAAUAGAGGUAAAUCACUAUGUUCUUUGUUAAAAAUUUGCAUAUGUUUUGAAGUUUACAAUUUUUAUUUGAAGUUUAAGUUUUAAAAACAGUUCAUCACACAUAUUUGUGGUUUUCACAGUAAAAAUGUUACUUUUUUCCACUCUGAUUUUAUGUUUUGUGUGUGAAUUUGGGUCCAUUGUGUAAAUUCAGUAUGUCAACAUGAUAAAAUAACUGUAAAUUCGCACAGGUGAGGUUGUGCUGAAAAAAAUGAUACCAGGCAAGGCACGUGAUUGUCAAAUUUUGUGUCAAUAUGACAAAGCGUAUAGGCGUGAAUCUCAACAAUAUGUAUUUUCACCUUAAGGGACAAGAAAAAAUGGACUUUUUUCUCCUGCCAUGGGGGGGCGCUCUUUUGGGGAGUAAAAAUUCCUUCACAAAUGUGUUGAUGGCUGGACAUUGCAUCAUCCUAGAAAACUUGGAGGCCAGUGAGGACAAAAAUAAAAAGUUAUAAGACUUUUAAAUAUGUGGAUUUUAGGGUUAUCUUUGGCGCCCCCUAGAACCUAAACCGUGGGGUGCAGCGUCAUGAUUUGAAUAACUUUUAAUGGCCAUGGGGUGUAGAUUGGCCUGAGCAAAUGUGGUGCCGGUGGAACGAAAGCCUUCGGAGGAGUUAGCGAAAUUCCAAUGUGUGCGGAUCGGCAAAAAAUGCAAAAUAACCCUUUAACCGUACAUUUGACAGAUACGCCCGCACUGACUUUUUUGUAGAUCUUAUUGAGAUACAUGUGUGUGUCAAUUUUUGUGUCAUUUUGACAAAGCGUACAGGCGUGACAGUCAAUAGUGUGAAUUUUCACCUUAGGGGACAAGAAAAAAUGGACUUUUUUCUCCUGCCAUGGGGGGGCGCUCUUUUGGGGAGUAAAAAUUCCUUCACAAAUGUGUUGAUGGCUGGACAUUGCAUCAUCCUAGAAAACUUGGAGGCCAGUGAGGGCAAAAAUAAAAAGUUAUAAGACUUUUAAAUAUGUGGAUCUUAGGGUUAUCUUUGGCGCCCCCUAGAACCUAAACCGUGGGGUGCAGCAUCAUGAUUUGAAUAACUUUUAAUGGCCAUGGGGUGUAGAUUGGCCUGAGCAAAUGUGGUGCCGGUGGAACGAAAGCCUUCGGAGGAGUUAGCGAAAUUCCAAUGUGUGCGUAUCGGCAAAUAAUGCGAAAUAACCCUUUAACCGUACAUUUGACAGAUACGCCCGCACUGACUUUUUUGUAGAUCUUAUUGAGAUACAUGUGUGUGUCAAUUUUUGUGUCAUUUUGACAAAGCGUACACGCGUGACAGUCAAUAGUGUGAAUUUUCACCUUAGGGGGCGCUAUGGAGCCAUUUUGCAUUUUCUUGUUUGGGCGACUUCGGAAUAUCAAAUUUUUCACCAGGCCCGGUCGUCCUGCCAAAUUUCAUGAGUUUUUGCCAGUGGGAAGUGGGCCAUUUUCCAGUUCAAAGGGGAGGAAAAAUAAUAAUAAUAACAAAAGAAGGAAACAUGCAGGAACAAGAGGGCUCUCGCAGCUGCUUAGCAGCUACGCUCGGGCCCUAAAUACCAACACUCAGUCGUUGAAUCUGCUGCAGAACAGAUUGAAGUGUCAUGUGGAGAGAGGAGAGAAUCUGUUCCCGUACAGGUGGUGAACAGAAGGUGAAGGCUGAGGGGAGGACAGGGUGGAGAGAAGGAGGUGAGGAGAGGAGGGGGAGAUGGGCUGUUACUCCCAUUACAUAAUGAAUGAGGUGAGAAGUCACAGAUUUGCUGUGGAGGAUUUAUUCAUUUUAUUCUGCUGUACAUUGGAGCACCUGAACUAAGCACUUUUUUACACACAAACCUAUCCUAAGACACAUGUGAGGACAGUGAAUUCAUUUACAUCUAUUAUAAAGAGGCCUUUAACAAACUUUACCUGAUACAUAAAGCUCAGUUUUUUAUACACAGGUGUCUGAACAGGGUUUUUUUUCCUCAUUCAUAUGCUUUUUUUUUCUUUCUUUCAUUUUUUGGGUACGUGCAGCUGCUGACAUUUUUCUGCAUGUGUAUUCGCGCACAUGCACUUUUGUCAGUACAAGCGACGAGCCAACAGGCAGCUCAAACAGUGACAGGUGACCACACUACAAAGAUAGAAAUGUCAAAUUGAAGUGGGUGAUUGGGGGGGUGGAUGAUGGUGGGGGUGAUGUCAGGAGAGGCGGUAGGAAAAAGCAGGAAGCCUGGAGUGAUGAACACAUCGCCGCAGCCCCUGUCACUUCUUAUUAGCGACCCGCACACACAAACACACUGGCUGUGAUUGUAAUUAAUUCAUAAUGAUGCUUUGGUAUGUGUGUCUACGCACAUAUGAGAGCCUUUAUCCAUGAGCCUGCAUGGAUGUAUAUUCCUGUUUGUGUGUGUGUUAGUACGUGACGGACAUGAGCAUCAUUGUAAAGACUGAGAGUUGACAGAAUCUGUGGUGGCAUGCUAGGGGUUAAACCAGCGGGAUGCUGCUUCGCACUCUAUGACACCAUUACCUCUGUGUACGUCCUGUCAGACUCAGCAUGAAGCAGUGAUUGCUGACUGACCAGGGCGACUGCUUUUACUCAGCUCUUAUGUGAAAGAGGCACUGUUUGUAAACCUGUUGAAUAUAUUAUUUAAAAAUAUACAUAUAUGUUUUUUUUUAACCCUAGAGCACUAUCGCUAAAAUUAGUAACACCAUCACUAUCGCCAGGUGAUUUUUACCCGAAAUAAUACACCCAAGAAAGAGUACAUGUCGUCAAAUAUCAAAAUAGGACAAUACAUGACAAAUUAAAGUAGCUUUCUUUCAUUUUUAACUGUGCAAUGUCCAAAGGGAGGAAAAAAAGUGCCAUGAGGGGACCAUAUAAAAUGCAGCAAAAUAACUGAAAUUAGGCAUUCAUGAACAAAAUAUGGCAGAUUUUGAGUGAGUAAAAAUGACCAGCUGACUAAGAUAUUUAUCACCUUGUGAAUUCCCUUGAAAAUCACUACUUUGUGAUAGUUAUUCAUAACCACUGCACUAAAUAAAGAUAGCAUGCAAAUUCGAGGACCACUCUUACUUUCUUUAUUCGCCUACAUGCAGCUGUCAGAUAAACUUAAACCUAUUUACCCUCUAUCACUAUUGUUGGGUGAAAAUCACCCGAACACGUGCAUGUCGGAAAAAGCAGGUUUUGGAUCAGGGAAACAAAUAUGCCUUUAAAGAUGUCAAAGGAAAUGCUGAAGCUACUCAGGGACCCAUGAUACUCAGACAAACGCAACAUAAUGAAAAUCAUGUAAACACGUUUGGUUGCGUCAAAAUCACCCGGCGAUAUUGUUCUAGGGUUAAGUGUUAUGCAAUUUAUUUGCAGGUAUUCGGGUGGAAACCGUACCUGUAGGUGCAGCAGGCGGAGCGUGUUGCUUCAGGACAUGGUCAGACAUAAAAGCCAGGAAGUCAGGUUUUAAUUAUAGAUCCAUGAGUAUGAAAGCUAACAGAAGGAGACAUAAGAAUACUUUUACAAUCUUGAGAAGUUCUCCCUACAUCAGUCAUUUAACCUUUAAUCUGAACCACAAGGUAAACGCUACUGCACACAAUUUGCCUAAACAAAACUCCCUCAUUGUGUGCAAGCAGAAAGGCUCAUGAACACAAUGUACAUGGAUGCCAAGAAUAAAUUCUUGUGAAAACACUUAAGCAACUCAAAGCAAGAAGUCAACCAGCUCAAGUGUCCUUGAAGAAGAGACUAAAUGGUUUUGAACUUUUCAUAAAAGGCAAAACUUUUUACUCGCAGUUGUCAUCAGUGCUUGCUUGUGUAUUUGAAGUUCAGGAAGCUCUUGGCGUUAAUGUGCAUCCAUAGAUGUGCUGAUUUCAACAUGUGGGCUGAAAAAUUUCCUUUGUGUUGCUUUUGUGUUGUAGUUUUUCAUGAGAGAGGAAUUGUCAAGGGACUGCAUUGUUUUUUCAGCUCUGCAGGCCUGGAAAGACUCCUCAAAGGAGUCACGCUAAAGGACUACUUUGAACAGCGUUAUUUUAAGUACUUGUAUGAUUAAUUUAGGCACAGAGCUGGUUCUUCAAAUCUACAGUUUUUGAAGACCAUAGAGUUUGUAUGGAAUGGACAGCAUCUGCCUCCUCGCUCGGUGAAGCCACCCCGAGAACAGCACCCUCUGGUGGCGGGCUGCAGUGUAGGUCAUAAAUUCCGCCUCCUCCAGCCAUCCUCAUGGGGCUGUGGACAAACUUUAGAAAUUUAUUACACAGAAUAUAAAUUUUCUCCUCCCUGUUUGUGAUGUUGACAUGUAGUUACUAUAAGACUGGUUUGUGCUCAAAUCUUCUUUUUUCUGUACAGCUCCAUUUUUAAAAGUUAUUAGGGGGUUCAUGUUUCCUAUGAUUGACAGUUGAUACAGCCAAUGGGUAUAUGAAGAUUGUGUAGCUCACCCAGGGAUAUGCAGUUUGAACCGGGCGUCAUCACAGCGACUCUCAGUGACUCCCGCCAAAUGUUUACAAUGUUGGUUUCAGGAAAUGAAGAAAAAUCCCAUAAUUACUAAGAGCUUUUCGGCUUCAAAUCCGUGUACUGGCGAAAGGCGGAAUGAAGUUGUCCAUAGUAUAUACAUGCUAUGAUGAAGACGUACAGUGAAGCUCAAAACUCAACGUCUGAUGCAUGCGAAGGUGACAUGCCUUUCAUAAACAAUUUAUUAUCCGAGAUAAGUGUGUCGCUCUGUAACAAAACAAAACCUCUGUGUCAGAUCCAGGUCUGCCCAGAAACCUGCAGGUGGUGCUUCACGAGUUAGGCCCACUAAUCUGAGAGCGGGCUCUGACCCAGGUCUCACUGAGUGGGAACCACCCUGACCAUCUGUGGGUCUCCACACUCUCCUGGCACCUUACCCUACACACACACUCACACAAGAAGUGUAUUACUGAAGACAUGGCAAAAGACAAGUGGAAAGGUGGUAGAGCGAUGAGAGGAUAAGAUAAAAGCUCGGAGGAGAAUUUGAGCUCAUGUGAGAAAAAGAAAAAUGAAAAAAGAGGAGAAAAGUGACACUUUCUGUGUGUUUCUGCUGUCACUUAAGAAGAAGGUCAUUGUUUUAUACAUCUGCUUAACAACAUCGAUGACACAAACCUGCUUUCAAAACUAUUUUCUGGCUCUUUCUCUUCCUCUGGCAGGGAGCUGAUGGUCUGGAA